rnacentral:lncRNA from 1 species
UCAAAGUGCUCCUUUCUCUUGGUGGAGGUGGUGCCGGGGCAGGGAGAGGACCAAUCCUGGCUUCUCCCGAGGAUGCUCGCGAUGUUGCAGCCUACCUCUGGAACAAUUACUUGGGCGGUCAAUCAGACUCUCGCCCACUUGGUGCUGCUGUUUUAGAUGGUAUAGACUUUGACAUCGAAUAUGGAUCGAACCUGUACUGGGAUGAUCUCGCCCGGGCACUCUCGGGAUACAGCACAGCAGAGAGAAAGGUGUACUUAUCUGCAGCACCACAAUGCUUCUUUCCUGACUAUUAUCUUGAUGUUGCUAUCAGAACUGGCCUCUUUGAUUUCGUCUGGGUGCAGUUUUACAACAAUCCGCCUUGUCAGUAUGGUACAAGCACAGGCAAUGCCGAUAACCUCUUGAACAGUUGGAGUAAUGAUUGGGCCCCCCAUCCAGGCGUUAAUAAAUUAUUCCUGGGAUUACCUGCAGCCCCUGAGGCAGCACCUAGUGGCGGUUACAUCCCACCUGAAGUGCUAAUUAAUCAGAUUCUUCCCGUUGUGCAGAGCUAUCCCAAGUAUGGAGGGGUCAUGCUUUGGAGCAGAUUCUAUGACCGAAACUACAGUCCAGCAAUCAGGCCUUAUGUUAACGGUGAUCCUCUGACUUAUACAACCAAGUCCGUGAAAAAAUCCCAUGCUGUAGCAUGAGUUCCUCUCAUUAUCUGCCACGAGAUGAAAUGUAGUCCUGGCUGCUUAUGCCAGAGACCAAUCUACUAAUGAAUAAUGGGCUAUGAGUUCCCCAAUCGAUUAAAAUGUUCUGUAAAUUUCUUCCCGUUUUAAUCGCUCUUUCUCUCUCUCGAAUGAAGGGGUACAAGAUCUAGUUUGAAGAACCAGUUGCACCUUCUCUUUUUUCUUUUUCUUUUUUUUUUUUUUAAUACAACUUCUUCUAGAUAAUGAUUUUUUGAUAAUAUUCAAACCACAUUUAAAUUGAAAAAGAAAAUGUUAAUUUGCAAUUGAAGUUUGAGGAACACUAUUUCCCCUCAUAUUUCAGUGCAUUACAUGGCCAACAACCUCAGAUGAUAUGCAAAUAAACUCUUGCAUGCAUGCUCAUCAAAUUUCAUAUACAAUUUUGUAGCCUACAGAGAAGUUUACGCAUGGAUGUUUAAGUAUCAGAUAAGCUUGGGCGAAGACCAAAUUUUGUGUACUAUUGAAACAUGGAACAAGAUUUCAAUCCCAUACAUAACCUCUAAAAUCACAUACAACUAUAAUUUUUGUUUCUUGUUUUUUUUUUUUCCUUGGAUGGUAUUAAAAGGUGUACAAUCUGUCUGCCUCAGAAUCACUUCCGGUCAGUGCGAGUCACUUUGAGAGUUAUGACAAUUUCACUAACCUCCCAUCAAAUCUAGAAAACAACAAUUACCUCCCCUCUUCUUAGAUUUGGUCUAAUGAUUUCAAGGUAUUUGGUAUACAUUGCCUUCUCAUGACCCACAACAAAGGGACAGCAAUCCAAGGGCUUUCGUUUUUAUUAAUUUUUUUGGAGUACAAAUUAAUUUCUCAUUAGCAUGUUAUGAAGCAUAUGAUAUUCUUGUUCGCAACAAUUUCUUUCUACGAAAAAAAAAGAACAGAGAGAAGGGGGGAAAAAAAGACUCAACUGAUGAACAUUUAAAAUGGAAACUCAUGUCCAUCCAUAAAUUAUGACAAGCUUGGUAUCUUAAAGAGAGGCGUCCUUGGGUUUAUAUUAUUUAACCAAAAUUGGUUAAAGUAAUAAGGUUGGCUUGAUUAAAAUUAUGUUUAUCAUAAUUGGGUCAUUUCUUAAAAUAUUGGCCUUAACAAAGAUGAUCCAUUCUUGAAAUUUGCGUUCUAGUAAAGCCAUUCUUGGGCAGAUGAUGACUAAGACUCUGUUUUUUGGGCUGAAUGAAACGGACGAUGCUUCAAUUUGAGGGAAAAAAAUAGGCCUUGCAUCAUGAAAUCAGUUUAUUAUUUAGCCACCAAAUAAGUAUAUUGAAUAGUUUGGAUUUUAUAACUAAUUAUAAGUAAUUGUGUCUUAAUUUUAGCUAUAAAAGUCUUUCACUUAACUAGUUAACUUAGAACACAUAUGAUGACUUCUUCCCUUGUCUCUAAAAUUUGUGAAAUUGGGCUCACAAAGAAGAUACUAAAGAAUAACAACCUUCAUUGGGAGCCGAGUACAAUUAUUUCAAAACAGCGCGCAUUACAUUCACAAAUCUGUCAAACUUUAUCUUCCAAUGCCCAAUAAACUACUGGUAUCCAAGUCCAAGAUUGCUCCAAAAUUCUAACCCUGCCCUUUUUCACAAAAUUUCAGUUUAGUCCAAAUGGAUUCUACACUAUGGUGCAACCACACAGUACAAAGGAAAGUUAAGGGAAAGCUUAUAAACGAGUGCAUGGUACGGUCUUAAGACUUCAGCCCAGACAUACUCUUAUGUUAUGUCAUAUGUAAAGGAAAAUAACUCAAAUUUUAGGCUCUGAAUCAUAUGUGAGUAGGCCUGCUUUUCUUUUAGUGCUUUAGUUUUUUUUUUUUGGUUAAAUUAUGGAAAUUACCACCUACUCAAUAUGGUCUUUUCUAGAGCAAUUCAUGGUAAUUAUCGAGUCUGAAACUACCAAAAAUUAGUACUGCUAAAGCUAUGUUUCAUAACCCUAAAAUACACCAAAGUCCAUACAUAUUACUAGGGGACUUUAUAUGUAAAAUUUAUAUAAACAAAAUAAGAUCUCAAAAUGAAGUACUUCAUAGGUAUGAUAAAAUUUAUAUGUUUCUAUUGAGACAAUUAAGCUGAGAAGUCUUUCACAACAAAUCUCUUUGAGGACCAGUUUCCCUCUCCUCACCAUAUCUCCUUACCUACUAACCUUCGCACGUUUUACCGUCUGUCCCAAGCCCGCCUCCCUCACACUCUCUUUUAGGAGAAUAAAAUUGUUUGAGAGCGAAAGCUCCCAUAUAUCAAAAGCCAGUGCUGUUCAAAUGUGUUUUCUCUCACCAUCUCCCACAAGAAGUGCGUGUUAAUACCAAUCACCUGAAUAAUAUGAAUAUGAGAAUGAACUCCUAAUGUCAUCACAAGAAUUGGUGGUAGUUCGGCUGGAGUAUAACAGUAAUACUUGUGGUAGUUGGGUUGGGGCAGGACAUAUGCAUAGUAGCUUUUGGUAGAUGAUAAAUAUAACACCUUUACCAUUUUUGUUAACAUGGUAUAUUUAUUCUUUUUCCUCUCUAUUCGAUAUUUGUUAAUUGUUAUACACUUAUACAUAGAUAGCAAGUGAGAAAGGGUCAGGCUAGUUUCAGAUAACGUGAAUAAUGUGGUUUACUUUCACUUAGUCACUCAUCGCACAACUCCUACUUUACUUCCUAUUUUGGUGGUAAUGUUCCCCAAACAUUACUUAUUGAGUAAUAGAUAAAAUUUAAUCAUGGCAAGAGCAUUUUUUUUUCGGACAUGAUAAAUCUACUCUACUCUAUACUAUGGGGAGGGGGUGAUCCAACGGGCCCAAGGGGAGGAUCCGGGGGGACUGAACUUGGGUGCCUACUAGUGUGAAUAAGUUAGAAAAUAUUUCUCAACACCCACUACCCUUAGGGGCUAGUAGUUGAGGCAAGGUCAAGUUAGUAUUUCACCAAGAAUUUGAUUUCUAACUACCAAGUUAAUAACUAAACAAUGUUUGUGUUUGGAUUACACAUUAUUUCCACCUUAUUUACACACACUGACUUGCUUAUAUCACCAACACAUUUUUUAAUCAUAUUUUUAUCUCACAUACAUCACAUCAAAAAAGUGUUACAGUAUUUUUUCACAAAAUUAUCUCAAAUAAGUUACUAUCCAAAUUGCUUAUGAUAAAAUAUUCCAUCUUCACCAAUUUUUUUUAGAAAGGGUUUUUCUUUGCCUUAUGACCAGAAGAAAAGAGCUCCAACCUGUUCUACCAGUAUGGAGCCAACCCCUUCGUUUCGUCAUGUCCCUAACUUAACUAGAUUGACCGGGGCACAAAGAGUUUACACUAGGGCUUCUAGUUCACAUGUUCUCUUUGCAAUCAUAGCCUUCUUGUCUCCAUCGGUUCCUUAGAAAUAGUCUUAUUGAUUUACUAGAAAUACACCCACUCAGGAAAGCCCGACUAAUCGCGGCAGGAGCCAUACUUAAAAGUAGCCGGUGGUGUUUCUAUGAUCAUAUACGUAAUUAUGGAGUAUUGAGUUAUGAGCUUGAGGGAACUCCAAUUAUUAAACAACGAGUGAAGGGACUAUCGGGUGAUAGGCCCAAACGGUAGUCUUAAUCUCCUCUUAAAGUCUAUUUAAGAGUCCUUGAAUGCACAACACUCCUAUAAAUCAUAUAAUCUAUUCCUUAUAUCUUUUACAGCUGCUUAAGGAAGUCUUUAUUCUCCCCCCGAGAGGGAUUAAGAGGGGGGGGGGGGGUAGUGGUCCAAUCUUGUCUUUUCAUUAGAGCUUUUUUUGUUUUUCUCUUAUUUAAAGUAUACCACAUUAGAGAAAGAGAAAACUCCCUCUAAAGGGCUUCUUUCUUGUAGGAUCCUAUAAGUCUCAUACUAACCCCUUAUAGCUGUAAGCUAUUAGCUCCCCUCUCCCUUUACUGGGCAGAUUAUCACUAGCCGCUGGGCGAGGGCCUCACUCUGCUAGUUUUCCACCUAGUAGGGUAUGGAGCUCUAUUCUUCAGAUUCAGUCUCCAAGGCCGCUACGAAGCUCUAGGAGGGCUUUCUAGUGUAUGCCUUGACUAUUUGAACCUCAUAAAACACAAGAAACUGAAAGAAAAAUAUUUACGCAGCGGAAUGAGCAAACAAUUUUUGCUUUUUCUUUCAUUCGAUGUUAUUGCUCGAAUCUGCAAAUUGAUACAGGCCUUGAUAUUUCAAAAACCAAUAAGUACUUACUUGUUUGGACGUGUAUGCAAUGCCCUCUGCUAGUUUUCCACCUAGUAGGGUAUGGAGCUCUAUUCUUCAGAUUCAGUCUCCAAGGCCGCUACGAAGCUCUAGGAGGGCUUUCUAGUGUAUGCCUUGACUAUUUGAACCUCAUAAAACACAAGAAACUGAAAGAAAAAUAUUUACGCAGCGGAAUGAGCAAACAAUUUUUGCUUUUUCUUUCAUUCGAUGUUAUUGCUCGAAUCUGCAAAUUGAUACAGGCCUUGAUAUUUCAAAAACCAAUAAGUACUUACUUGUUUGGACGUGUAUGCAAUGCCUGAUACAGAUGCUUGAAUUCCAGCAAUUAGCCUUCCACACGUUAGGCCUCUAGUUCGUCCACACAGACUCAAAACUAAUAGAUUGCUGAAUAUUGGAGUUUUUGUUUUGGUGGUGAUGAAAACAACGGUAGUCAACCACUUUUGUCAAUAGGGCAUAUAUAUAUAUAUUUACGAUUGUUUUUGAUUAGAUCAAUAUCAGAUCAAUAUCUUAUUUGAUCAAAUCAAAACAACCGGUUUAUAUAUAUAUUUUAUUCUUAUUUUGAUCAAAUCAAAAUAGAAUACAUCUAAUACCAUUAUUUAACUCACGUUUUAGUUUUUGAUCUUAUCAAAAUAUAAACAUAAUUAAUAUAAUUAUAUUAACUAUUAUUUUCAUCUUUAUGAUACUUGAGUCAUACUCAAAUACUAACUCCAAAUUCCGUCUAGCUUGGGUUUCAAGAUGUGCUAGCAUCCUUAUCAAAAUAAAAACCCAUUCUAAACAACUUCCCUAUUAAUUCAAAUCCUUUUGUGUGUGACUAUCUAGGUUCAUUACCCAGUUGGCAAUGCAAUAAACGUUAGCCUAUUAACAUUAGUUAGAACAUUUCUAACACUUGAGAAGUUCUCCAAAUAUACCUCAAGUUAACAUAGUUCAUGAGUGAUGCCUAGCAGCAUAUCAUGACACCCAACCGGUGAUGAAAGAUUGGAAUCCUUUUAUGUGAACCAUGAUUGCAAUUGUUUUGCAUAAAAAACCUUCCAUUACUAUAUCCCUAUUGAGUUCAGUUUAGUAAUAAUGUCAAACUCUAAAACUCAAUCGUAUGUCUUAAUCUAUCAAAUUACUUGACUAUAAAAUUGAUCAUCUACAUGAAUCAAUUUGUCUUGGCCAAGAACUCCUUUAGUCAAGAUCGAUAGAUUUCAUAAGAUAUCAAACCAUUCAUGAUGGAAUAAUAGAUCCCUUUUGCAUAAUCACUUGGCUCCAUGCAUAACUAAUUAGAGGUACCAUAUGCUAAUACUCAUCCGUGAUUAGAACAAGUAUUUUCAGCAUUGAUAGACUUUAACCACCCAUGAAUGAGCCAAUCGUGUUAUCUCAGGUCUAAGGAUCACAUGCACCAUUGCAAUCAAUAAUGAAUCAUUGACAUUAAUAAGCUAAUGAUUCAUUAUUUAAUUAGUCAGUGUUCAAGCCAACUUGUCACACAAGUGCCUCUCAUAUUUAUUCUAGUAUCACAUACUUAAUGGUAUGAGACUCGCCAUUCUAUUAUCAUUAAUAUCCCAUAUUAAUCAUAGAGGAUAAAUAUGAGACUAAUCUUCCGGAUUAAACUUGCCCAAUUAAUAAUCCUAUGAUUAGGAACAAUUUAAUAUUAUUUGUACCAAGUUUUUCCGUUACUCAUAUUCUCAUCACAUGAGAAUGGAACCUUAACAAAUAAUAAGGGACAACAUUCAAUCAAAUCUAAACCAAGAAUAAUUGAAUCAAGAAGUGCCAUUUUAUUUUAAUCAAGACAAUAAUUAUUAAUACUCUAGGGCAUACUGCUAACAGGCUCCCACUUGCACUAGAGCCAUUCAAUACAAUAUUUGAGUCCCAUCUUCUCAAGAUGGUGAUCUAACUGUCGUUGUGUCAUGGCCUUAGUAAGCGGAUCAGCUACGUUAUCAGCUGAAGCUAUCUUGUGCACGGUGACAUCACCUCUUCCGAUUAUCUCUCGGAUAAUAUGGAAACGACGCUCAAUAUGUUUGGACUUCUGGUGAGACCUCGGUUCCUUAGCCUGAGCUAUUGCACCAUUAUUGUCACAGUAGAGAGGUACCGGCAAUUCAAUGGUAGGAACCACUCCUAGUUCUGUGACAAACUUUCUCAUCCAAACAGCUUCCUUUGCUGCAUUUGAUGCAGCAAUGUACUCAGCUUCCGUAGUAGAAUCAGCAGUCGUAUCUUGUUUGGAACUUUUCCAACUCACUGCUCCUCCAUUACAGAGAAAAAUGAACCCAGAGAUAGAUUUUCUAUCAUCUACAUCUGAUUGAAAAUCAGAAUCUGUAAAACCAUCUAGUCUUAAAUCACCUCCUCCGUAAGUCAAGAUCAUAUCUUUAGUCCUUCUUAAGUACUUAAAGAUUGCCUUGACUGCACCCCAGUGUUCUAAACCUGGAUUAGACUGAAACCUGCUAGUAACACUAACAGCGUAAGCUAUGUCUGGUCUUGUACACAACAUUGCAUACAUUAGACUUCCAAUUGCCGAAGCAUAUGGAAUCUUAGCCAUUCUUUCUCUAUCUUCAGAUGUCUGAGGUGACAUCUUUUUCGAUAGGUGAAUGCCAUGUCUAGCAGGUAACAGUCCUUUCUUAGAUUCAAGCAUAUUGAAUUUUUUCAAUAUCUUGUUUAUAUAAAGACUUUGGGAUAACCCUAUAGUUCUUUUCGCUCUAUCUCUAUAGAUACGAAUUCCUAGAAUAUAGGUCGCUUCUCCCAAAUCCUUCAUAGAGAAGGUGCUUGAUAACCAUAAUUUUACAGAACUAAGCAUCCCUAUGUCAUUGCCCAAUAAUAAGAUGUCGUCAACAUACAAAAUUAGGAAAGUGACUGCACUCCCACUGACCCUUUUGUAAACACACGGUUCAUCCUCAUUUCUAAUGAAACCAAACGUUUUGAUUGCAUCAUCAAAUCGGAUAUUCCAAUUCCUCGAAGCUUGCUUAAGACCAUAGAUGGAUCUCUUAAGCUUGCACACUUUAUGUUGCUCACCCUCAGAUACAAAACCUUUGGGCUGAUCCAUAUAAACGUUUUCCUCAAUGUAACCAUUAAGAAAAGCUGUCUUGACGUCCAUCUGCCAGAUUUCAUAGUCAAGGUACGCUGCUAUGGCUAAUAGAAUCCUAAUAGAUUUGAGCAUGGCUACAGGCGAGAAAGUCUCCUCAUAGUCUAUUCCCUGCCUUUGGCGAUACCCUUUCGCCACUAGCCUAGCUUUGAAGGUUUCGACCUUGCCAUCAGAACCAAUCUUUCUCUUAUAGACCCAUUUGUUCCCUAUAGGUAUUAUACCUUCGGGUGGCUCCACAAGUUCCCAGACUUGGUUUGUGUACAUCGAAUCCAUUUCAGAUUUCAUAGCUUCUAGCCAUUUUGAGGAAUCUAUAUCAGAUAUAGCUUCUUCGUAAGUAGUAGGAUCAUCUGUAUGAUCAGUGUCUCCAUGUAUGAACAAUUCUUGCAUAUUCUCAUGGAGAUACCCGUACCUUUGAGUAGGACGAGACACUCUACUAGAUCGUCGAGGCUCUUGUGUUGUGACAUUGUUAUCAAUGGACAUUGGCUCUUUACCAGGCACAUCAUUCCUUUCCUGAUCAUUUUGUUGCUCAUGUGAAAUUUCAUUAAGCUCUAUCCUCCUUCCAGCAGCACCUUCUUGAAUAAAUUCUUUUUCAAGGAAGGUAGCAUUUCUACUGAUGACAACAAUUUGUUCAUCUGGAAGAUAAAAUUGAUAUCCAAUACAAUCCUUUGGAUAUCCAACAAAAUGACCUUUGACAGAUCUUGAUUCCAACUUGUCUGUCUUUAGUUUCCUGAUAUGAGCAGGACAACCAAAAAUUUUAACAUGAUUAAGGCUUGGCUUUCUUCCAGUCCACAUCUCAUAUGGAGUGGUAGGGACGGACUUAGAUGGUACUCUAUUGAGUAUAUAACAUGCUGUAAGAAGUGCAUAAUUCCAAAAUGAAAUAGGGAUAUCAGUAUAGCUCAUCAUGGAGCGAACCAUGUCCAUAUAGGUACGGUUCCUCCUUUCAGAUACGCCAUUCAAUUGUGGCGUUCUUGGAGGAGUAAGUUGAGAAAUAAUACCUUGAUCUUUAAGGUAUUCCCUGAACCCAGUGUCUAAGUAUUCACCUCCUCGAUCUGAUCGGAGAGUUUUAAUACUCUUACCAAGCUGAUUUUCUACUUCAGCCUUGAACUCUUUGAAUUUUUCAAAGCAUUCAUGCUUGUACUUCAUUAAGUACACAUAACCAUACCGAGAGUAAUCAUCAGUAAAAGUUAUGAAGUAAAUAAAUCCUCCUCUAGCCACUUUGGCAAAUGGCCCACAUACAUCACUAUGUAUGAUUUCUAGAACAUCACUGGCUCUUAUACUUUGUCCCACAAAAGGCAACCGAGUCAUUUUGCCUUGAAUACAAGGUUCACAAGUUGGAUAGGGUUCAGAACCCAUGGGUUUGAGUAAUCCCAUUUUCUCCAUCUUUGAAAUUCUGUCUCCUGCGAUGUGACCCAGUCUAAGAUGCCAAAGAUGUUUUUGAUUGAGGUUAAGUUUAGUCACUACGUUUAAAUUCUCAAACUUAGUUCCAUCUUUAUCAUCAGACAUGUGGUAUAAACCAUUUUUCUUGUAUGCCAAACCAAUACAAUCAGUAUUGUAAUAAAUCCUACAAAUAUUGCCUUUGAAUAAAAAUUCAUAUCCCACAUCAGUCAAAACCGAAAUAGAAAUAAUAUUCGUAAAAGUGUUUGGCAGACAUAAAACAUUGUUUAGGAAUAAAACAUGUCCUGAAGAUAAAGCUAAAGAAGUAGAUCCUAUAGCAGUAGCAGCAACUGUUGCUCCAUUUCCGACCUUUAGGAUCACCUCGUCCUUCCCAAGGACUCUACUUUUGGUUAGUUCCUGCAAAGAUGCACAAACAUGAUAUGAUGCACCUGAGUCAAGAACCCAAGAAGUAGAAUGAGAGCUAACUGUACACAGAGGAUUGAGGAAACAUGAAAUGGUACUACCUUCAUUUGUCUUUCCUUUUCCCUUGUCCUUUAUCGACUCAAGGUACUUAGGACAAUUCCUCUUCCAAUGUCCUUCCAUUUGGCAGUGGAAACAUUUUGCACCAACCUUGAAGUUGCCCUUCUUUUUAGAGAUACCUCCUGUAGGCUUAGGAUGAGAAGAUUUAAUUGAUUUCUUCUUCUUCUUUUUGGACUCUCCAGAAGAAGAAGCAAUCAUUAAAGCCGCUUCCUUUCCGUUUCCUUUCAUCGUAGACUGAGCAGUAACAAGAUGGUUAUGAAGUUCUGAAAGCGAUACCUCAAUCUUGUUCAAGUGAAAAUUUACAAUGAAUUGGGCAAAGGAAUCUGGUAGAGACUGCAAAAUCAAGUCUGUCUGAAGGUGAGCAUCCAUGGAAAAAUCCAAGUUUUCAAGACGCUCAAUCAUAUUGAUCAUCUUGAGAACAUGAACUGACGCAUCAGCUCCUUCAGUCAGACGAGUCCUAAACAACUCCUUAGAUAUCUCAUAUCGGGCAGUUCUGGAUUGUUCACCAUACAAUUCUUGUAGGUGAAGCAAAAUAUCUUUUGCGGUCCCCAUCUUUUCAUGCUGCCUUUGCAAUUCAUUGUUCAUAGACGCUAGCAUGUAGCACCUAGUUUGCAUGUCAUCCUCCUCCCACUUUCUAAAAGUGGUUUGUUGCGGCUCAGUCGCCCCUUCAGGCAAGGGAUUAGGAACUGGAGUCUCUAAAAUAUAUCCAAUUUUUUCGGAAUUAAGAACAAUUCUUAGAUUCCUCAGCCAAUCAGUGAAAUUGGGCCCAGUGAGUGUAUUUUUUUCAAGGAUAGUUGAGAGAGGGUUCAUGGGUGCCAUAAUAUCCAAAUAUUAGAAACUGCAGAAGAUAAUAAAAUUGAUUAGCAAUUAUCCUGAUAGAUCCAAUUUGUUUUUGGCCUUUAAAACAAACUGGUCCUCCCACUAAAUUUUUCGAAUGUCAUACUUCCAAAAUGAUAAACAGAAAUCUUUAAAUGAUCUCUAGUGGGAGAUGGGAUUCUUAUAAAAUGUUUAAUAUACCUCAGGUGAUCCCUAUAUUGGUAUAAUAAUAUUUUGUAAGUGACAACUCUUUGUCAAUACAUCUCAUGUAUACCCCAACCGAGACUUGGCUCCUAAUACUUAAGACCUCAGGCGUAUCCAAUCUUGGUCCAUCAUAUUAGUUAAAUUAAAUCCACUAGACAGUAGGCAAGAUAAUUUGAAUAUUAAUUACCUCAGGCGUUUCCUAUCUUGAUAAUUAAUAUAUUAUCCUACCCACAACAUCACAUGCUUUAUAAAAUCUACAAGAAUAUCCCUUACAUCUUUAUACUACCCCAUGUGUCCACAGCCAAUAGUACAAAUUGUAAAAUAUUCUGUAGAUCUUAAUCCAGUGGAGGGCCAUGAUACAAUAUCAUAAAGUAGGUGGAUUUUCUGGUCUAAUUAUUUCGAGGUAACACUGUGUUCAUCAAAAUCCUUUUGAUGAACGUGCAUCACAUACAUAUGUCAAAAGCGAAUAAAUAAACUCAGAUAAUCAUGGAUAACAACAACCAAAAAAAAAACAACUGAAUUAGUCUUCCUGAGCCCAUGAUUAUCCUUCAUGCCAUGUAUCAAAAAUGAAAAAUUAAAUAUUUCAUAUUAAAUAAGGAAUGCUAACAUUUAUUGAAACUAUUCCAUUUAAUGCUAACCGUUUUAAUUUCAUUGCCUUUCAAAAUUAAAUCACUAACAUUUAGAUAAUUAAUUUUGAACAAAAGAUUGCUUUCAAUAAUUAAGAUUCUUAACGUUUUAAGAAUACUUAAUUAUUAGAAGGAAACCUUUUGAAAUAUAAUCUUAACCCAUUUAAGAUAAGUCCGAAACUGAAACAAUAUGAAGCCUUUGUUUAGCACCAUGGCCGAGACAGCAACUAUUGCAAUCAGCCUUCCAAUGAAACAAAUAUAAUCAAUUGCAAAUUCGAAGCAAGGUGGCUCUGAUACCACUGAAAGAAAAAUAUUUACGCAGCGGAAUGAGCAAACAAUUUUUGCUUUUUCUUUCAUUCGAUGUUAUUGCUCGAAUCUGCAAAUUGAUACAGGCCUUGAUAUUUCAAAAACCAAUAAGUACUUACUUGUUUGGACGUGUAUGCAAUGCCUGAUACAGAUGCUUGAAUUCCAGCAAUUAGCCUUCCACACGUUAGGCCUCUAGUUCGUCCACACAGACUCAAAACUAAUAGAUUGCUGAAUAUUGGAGUUUUUGUUUUGGUGGUGAUGAAAACAACGGUAGUCAACCACUUUUGUCAAUAGGGCAUAUAUAUAUAUAUUUACGAUUGUUUUUGAUUAGAUCAAUAUCAGAUCAAUAUCUUAUUUGAUCAAAUCAAAACAACCGGUUUAUAUAUAUAUUUUAUUCUUAUUUUGAUCAAAUCAAAAUAGAAUACAUCUAAUACCAUUAUUUAACUCACGUUUUAGUUUUUGAUCUUAUCAAAAUAUAAACAUAAUUAAUAUAAUUAUAUUAACUAUUAUUUUCAUCUUUAUGAUACUUGAGUCAUACUCAAAUACUAACUCCAAAUUCCGUCUAGCUUGGGUUUCAAGAUGUGCUAGCAUCCUUAUCAAAAUAAAAACCCAUUCUAAACAACUUCCCUAUUAAUUCAAAUCCUUUUGUGUGUGACUAUCUAGGUUCAUUACCCAGUUGGCAAUGCAAUAAACGUUAGCCUAUUAACAUUAGUUAGAACAUUUCUAACACUUGAGAAGUUCUCCAAAUAUACCUCAAGUUAACAUAGUUCAUGAGUGAUGCCUAGCAGCAUAUCAUGACACCCAACCGGUGAUGAAAGAUUGGAAUCCUUUUAUGUGAACCAUGAUUGCAAUUGUUUUGCAUAAAAAACCUUCCAUUACUAUAUCCCUAUUGAGUUCAGUUUAGUAAUAAUGUCAAACUCUAAAACUCAAUCGUAUGUCUUAAUCUAUCAAAUUACUUGACUAUAAAAUUGAUCAUCUACAUGAAUCAAUUUGUCUUGGCCAAGAACUCCUUUAGUCAAGAUCGAUAGAUUUCAUAAGAUAUCAAACCAUUCAUGAUGGAAUAAUAGAUCCCUUUUGCAUAAUCACUUGGCUCCAUGCAUAACUAAUUAGAGGUACCAUAUGCUAAUACUCAUCCGUGAUUAGAACAAGUAUUUUCAGCAUUGAUAGACUUUAACCACCCAUGAAUGAGCCAAUCGUGUUAUCUCAGGUCUAAGGAUCACAUGCACCAUUGCAAUCAAUAAUGAAUCAUUGACAUUAAUAAGCUAAUGAUUCAUUAUUUAAUUAGUCAGUGUUCAAGCCAACUUGUCACACAAGUGCCUCUCAUAUUUAUUCUAGUAUCACAUACUUAAUGGUAUGAGACUCGCCAUUCUAUUAUCAUUAAUAUCCCAUAUUAAUCAUAGAGGAUAAAUAUGAGACUAAUCUUCCGGAUUAAACUUGCCCAAUUAAUAAUCCUAUGAUUAGGAACAAUUUAAUAUUAUUUGUACCAAGUUUUUCCGUUACUCAUAUUCUCAUCACAUGAGAAUGGAACCUUAACAAAUAAUAAGGGACAACAUUCAAUCAAAUCUAAACCAAGAAUAAUUGAAUCAAGAAGUGCCAUUUUAUUUUAAUCAAGACAAUAAUUAUUAAUGCUCUAGGGCAUACUGCUAACAGAAAUAACAAGAAGCAAGCGAAAGAAGGAAUCCUUGGGUAAGAAUUCCGAUUGAAGCAAUAAGGAAAGUGCGGCUUUUGUUCACCUAUCAUUCUCCGAUGCGACCAAGCAACUCCCUUAGAAUAUCUUCCCUUCGAACAGCGCGACCCGCCUAUUCAACUACAAUAUGAAUUCCUCUUGCCGUUGUUGCUCUUCUUGCCCCUUUAGUGGUGAUCCUUGGAUGAGGAGCAUAAACGAGCCUUAAGAGUGCAUUAGGAGGUCUUGUUGCCUGUGCUCAAGACAUAUUUUAACACAACUACAUUCCACCCAACCUGCUAUGUAUAUACACACACUAGUAAUUACUAUUUUUUCCUACAUUUAUACACUUUUCCUAAUUAAUCUCUUUGCAUUUAUAAUCUUUUCCUAAUUAAUCUUAUAUUUUUAAAAAUCUAACACGUGAAAUACAUCUUAACAAAUAUCUUAUAUAUACCCAUUAGAUAGACCAUUUUAGAAAAAUAUCUUUGUUAGAAAUAUUGGCGGGUUUCAAACUAACUAUCUAAUGUAUCCUUAAUUUAUUCUAAUUGAUCCUUCAUGAUGAUAUAUAUAAACACCCACCCACCGCCCCCCCCCCCCUUCUCCCGGGUUCCUCCUCAAAGUCAAGGCAGUUGCGAAGAAACCAUUUUGAGUUUGUCAAGAAGAUCAUUGAAACGGUUGGGAGGAAGAGGUUUGGUGAAGAUAUCUGCAAGUUGAUCCAUAGAAGAUACAGAGUGGAUGAUCUCGCCGGGGCACUUUACGGGAUAUAGCACAGCAGAUCUAGAGAAAGGUUUACUCAUCUGCAGCACCACAAUGUUUUCUUCUUGACUAUUAUCCUGACGCUGCUAUCAGAACUGGCCUCUUUCAUUAUGUGUGGGUACAAUUUUACAACAAUCCGCCUUGUCAAUGUAGUGCUGGCAAUACCAAUAACUUCUUCGACAGUUGGAAUCCAGGGGCUUCAUAUACAGGCGUUAAUACAUUAUUCCUGGGAUUACCUGCAGCCCCUGAGGCAGCACCUAGUGGCAGCUACAUCACACCUCAAGAGCUAAUUGAUCAAGUUCUACCCUUUGUCGAGAGCUAUUCCAACCACAGAGAGCUCAUGCUUUGGAGCAAAUACUUUGAAGCUAAUUGCAAUGAAAUAAUCAGGCCUUAUGUUAACUCUGAUGUCCUGGUUCAUGGCAAAAAGUCCACGAUAAAGUCCCAUGCUCUCGAAUAAUUGAGUUGCUCUCAUUAACACUUGAUGGAUGAAAUGCAGUCCUGGUUGUUUUUGCCAUAUAGAUAAAUAAUGGGUAAUAAGUUCCCCAGCUAUGGAGGCGUCAGAUACUGGGAUGUGUCUAUUACAGUCCAGCAAUCGAGCCUUAUGUUAAACCAUGAAAACUCUGACCAGUGAUAACAAGGCCAUGGGAGUCUUCUGCCACUGAAUAAGUUCCUCUGAUCACUAUUUCAUGAGAGAUGAAAUGUAAUCCUGGUUGUUUAUGCUAGAGAUAGAUGUGAUAAAUAAAUAACGGGUUAUGAUCCCCAAGUUUAAUUGCGUAUUCUCUUGAUUUAACGGUUAGAAAAUCCGCAAAAAUCACAAAUUACUGAAUACUAGUUUGGACAACCAUGCCAGUUGCACCUCCAUUUUGCAAUGUAUAUCUCUUAAAAUUGGGAAGUAAUUACAUUUUCGGUUUGCAACUCCAUUAAAAUUUGACCAAACGAACCUGUGGUUUGAUCAAAUUAUCCCCUUAUGAGUUAUGGCUUCCAAAACCAACUAACGGAAGUGGAGAAAUGUUAGAACUACCAUCUACAGAAGAUUACAUUUAUCUCCCUUGAAAUUUAUCUAAAUAAAAAAAAGGGUCAUUAAAAUGUGAACCGAAUGCAAUUUAACCCUUAAAAUAGCCAACUGUUUAUAAAAAUAAAAAUCCCUUAAUAUUAUCAAAAGAAUAAAACCCAAAUUAAGAUAAAAUUAUCAAUUACUAUCUUCCAAGAAAUGAAAAAUGAAAGGAAAAAAAUUGAGAAAAUGUCUUUCUUUCUCGUCUUUAUCUACAUAUGGCUUAUUUUAGCCACUAAAAAACACUCUCUCUCCUUUUAACAAUUAUGCAUUUCAUUUGCAUAUCCAAUUAGGAAGAUACUAAUAUUAAGUUUAAAUAAAACUCUCGUUAAGCCAGAAAACCUUCGCUUGGCCCAUUCGAUAAUAAAUUCUUGUCCUUUAUUCCAGACAAGUGCCUUUAUUAGAUUUUCACUUUUGAUUUUCAAUUUGGUGUCUUUACGAAAGAAAAAUCCUAAAUUUUCAUGCUUAGAGAUGUAUGCAAAUUUAACAGUUUAUUUUAUGUUUUAGGAAACAAAGUUUUAUUAUUUGCGCAUGGAAGUCAAAAACGAUAUUUGAUAUCAAUUAUGUAAUAGUGGUGGUCAAGGAAACUGCAUCGACUGAAACACUUUUGUUAGUGAUGCCACGUGAUUAGAGUUUCAAUUACACUAAUUUUAAGAUGAAAGAAUCAUUGGAAAAAUAUAUAGUAAUUAAUGGGUAUUUUUAUAAACUCAAAAAUUCUGAUGUGAUUAAGUAUUAGCAAAUAUUUCUUUAAUAAAUGUUUGCGAGAAUUGCAGUUUUGGUCUCUAAUGUUUGGCGUGUGUACCAAAUUAGUCCUCAAUGUUUUAGCUAAAACAAAUCUAGUCCCAAAAAUUUGUGAUUUUCGGUAGAUUUAGGACAAUAAAUGGAAAUGAAACAAUGGCUAACAGUCAAUAUCAAAUUACUGUUAGUCAACAAGUUUAACCUUUUGAUUCCCAAUGUUUUGAUUUUGAAUCAUUAUAUUUUUCUAAUUUUUUAAAUAUUGGUAUUAAGGGUUUUGGCAUGAAUUGAGAUGCAAAUUAGAAUGAAAUAGUAUUAAAUAUGUAAUAAUAAUUUUAAUUAAAAAUAUAUUACUUCUUUUUUAAUAUUUAUUUCAUUUAUUCAUGCUAAUAAUUAUAUAUAAUUGUUUCUCGCUUGAAUAAUUAAUUUAUAAUGAGUUUUAUUAUUUUUAUUUCUAAUAACAAUUAAACAACUUUAUUAAAUAUUCCUUUAAAACACAAGAAAUAUAUUUUUUGUAAAAUAAGUUGAUCUUUUUUGGCAUUUUAAUAGGUUAUCAAUUGAGUUUGAAAUAAAGUUGACAUUUUAUACACGUUAUAUGAACCACUAGAUGAUUGUCAAGAUACAUAGAUACUAAAAUAAAUGAUUUAAAACUACAAUAUUGAAAUGUUAGAUUUUAAUGGUAGUAAAGAAAAUAAAAAUAAAAGAUAAUUUUCUUAGGAUUUGCUAAAAUUAUUUAAUAUUGAUGCUUAACUUUACUAGUUUUUAUAAAUACAACGGAUAACUCUAAGAAUUUGAAGCAUACAUGCACAAGACAUGCAACAAUUUUUGUAGUAAUAACUAUAAUAAAUUUAGAUUAUAAAACUGAAAUUCUCCUUUUCUUCCUCUACUUUAUGUUUUAUUUAUUAUUGGUAUAUUAUCAUCCAAUUAAAUUUAUUUAAUAAAGAUAGGCAAUUAUCAACUUAUGCCAUUAUGAUUUGUUUCAAUUAAUAGUGAGAAAUAAUAUAUAUACAUAUAUUAUACAAGAUUUGAGACUAGAAAUGCAAAAAAAAAAAACAUAUGAGAUAUUAUUAGUAUGAAUAAAUGAAAUAAAAAUAAAAGGGAAGGAAAAAAAGUUUAAUUAGAAUUUUUGUUACCCAUUUAAUACUAUUUCAUUCUAAUUUGCAUCUCAAUUCAUACUAAAAUUCUUAAUAUCAUUAUUUAAAAAUUAGAAAAAUAUAAUCAUUCAAAGUCAAAAUACUAAGGACCAAAAGUGCAAAGUCAAAGUUGUUGACUAAUGACAAUUUGAUAUUGAUCGUUAGUCAUUGUUCUAUUUCCAUUAGUUAUGCUAAAUCUAACUAAAAUCGCACACUUUCGGGACAGAAUUUGUUUUGGCCAAAACAUGCAUUAGGGACAAAUUUGGCAUACAAGCAAAACAUUAGGGACCAAAAUUAUAAUUCUCCAUAAAUGUUUGGCUAGUAAAACAUUGGAUUGAUUUGGAAAAACUAAAGGGUUCAUUUUUGUUAUUUGGACAAACUUCAAGAGAGGCAAAUGCAAUUUGAACAAACUUUAGGAUAGGUAAGUGCAAUUAACUCAAUUUACAAAAGGUUAGUUUGGGGGCUUUUAGACAUAUAUUUUAGUGAUGCAAGCAUCAUUUCAAUCAACAAUUAGCGUGAGGGGCGCAAUUGAUAAACAUUUUGUCAGUCAGGGGAUUUGACUAUAAUCUGGUCAAACUGCAAGAUAAAUUUUGUACUUUGACACCUCGAGAAAGUAGGUGUAAUUAACCUUAAAAAAACCGAGUGUUCUUAUUGUCCGAAUAUUAUCCAAAUGAGAUAGCACUAUCUCAAGAAAAAUACAUGUAUCCAUUCUUAUACCUUCACCUAUGUAUCCACUUUUGACUUAUAAUUAAAGGUAACAUGGCUUGUUUUAACCUAUUGAUUGUACCCUCCACCUAUCUCUCUCUUUUCAUUUCUUUCUGUUUCUCUUCUUCCAACCAACCUCUCCAAUCCUUCUUUCAGCCCACCCAAGUUCUCAUGAUGAACACUCUUCCCAUGCACCAUGCCUCUACCCUAAUCCAAAUAUUUACAAGUAGUGGCAGAACCAGAAUCCUAGACUCAGCAAGGCCAAAUUAGAUUAGCAUAAAAAUUGAAGUAUUAAUAGAGUUUGAAAUCAAAAAACACUUCUAUCUUAAAAGUUCAUUUUUUCUAUGUUAAAUACACUUUUAAAAAUAAUUUGCGUUAAAUUUUGCAAUGAAAAUUACAUUUAAAUUUACAUCUAUAUUUAACUUUUGGUAGGUUUAAUACUCUUGUGAAGGAUAACAAUUAUGGAAUUUUAAUUAUUUAGGGGGCAAUGUAUGAUAGUAAAGAGAAUUCUAAAAAUUUUAGGGAGGACAAAUAAGAAACAAUUUUGAAAAUUUCUAAACAUAAAAUAUAAUUUUCUCAAAAAUUGCACCCCCUCAGCAGUAUGUGGCUUUGCCAUUGUUUAAUUACAAGCUUUCCUUCCUCCCUAUUUUCCUAUAUUGUGUUUACAUUUUUGAAGUACUUGUAUAUUUCAUAUAUAUCACAUUGCAAAAACUACAACAUUAUAAUUCUAAAAAAAUUUAAACUAUAUGUUUCCAAACGCAGCCUUGACUUUUAGUUAUUGAGUCUUAGUUUGAAUAUGAAGUCAACAGUUUCACUUUGUCUCAACGCACCUAUAGGAUUUAAGUAUAGGUUUUGAAACCGUAGGAGACUUUUGUGUCUUGUCCAUGAACAACAGGAGGAUAAAGUUAAUUCACCUCUUUUUUUUAAAAAAAAGAUAGAAGACUAUGCUAAUAUUUAUAUUUUUAUUGUGAGUCAGGGUAUUUUUCAAAGAUAAUUUUAUUUAAUUGGGUUAACAUUUCUAGGCAUUGAGAAGGGUUAAGAAAUCAUAAAAUUGUAAGUUAAUUGUAAAAAAUAAUAGUAGGAAUGAAAUGCCAAAAAUGACUAUAGUUUAGCCAAACCACAAGGUAGAUUUUGUAAUUUGACCAAACCUCGCGGGUAGAUUUUUUUUUUUUGGGAUAAAUCAGGGGUAGAUUUUAUUGUCCGACUAUUAUAAUUUAUAAUGGACCAGAGUAGAGAUUAGUUGUUACAUUUCCAACUUUUUUGCAUGGUCACACAUUUCCGACUAUUAUAACCUCAGGUGUUUUUUUUUCCUUUCUCAUUUUGGAUUAAUCUUCAAUAGAGGAAACAACUUUCUGGCUUGAUAAAUAUGUUAUGAAAAUAGAUUUUUUAAAUUAAAUAGGGACUACUUGUCCUGUAUUCAGAUAUGCCAUUGUAAUAGAACUUUGGUAUACUUAGAUAGUAUAUUAUUUAGGAUAAUUUUUUGACAAAAAUAUUGUGUUGACCUUGGUCGAUCAAUCCUUGGUUUUGAUGAUUAACAAACCAAAAUAUAGAUUUGGGCUAAUGUUUUUAUGUGAGUAAUUUGUUAGAAUAGAUUCUUGUGGCAUAAAAGAAGAAGCAAAAACAGGGCACUCAUGUCGGACGCUAUCGGAUGUCCGAAAGGAUGAAGAACAUCAAGAAGGAAACUCUGUCGGACGCUCAUGAGGAAGCAUGGGACGUCCGGAAGGAUCGGACGCACGCCUCGGACGCACAUCGAUCGCAUCGGACGUCCGAGAAAUUUCGCAAAGAUUUGAUGACUCUCUGACGACGUUCGGACGCAGGGUUCGGACGUCCGACAGGUGGUUUGGACGCAGGGUUCGGACGUUCGACAGGUGGUUCGGACGUCCGACAGACCAACGGCUAGUUUUGACAGCAUUUAAUAUUUGACCGUUGGAGAGCCUUUUGGAGUCAUUUCUCACCUUCUAUAAAAACCCCAAAGCACAAGAAGACAAGAGACUUUUGCCAACACAAAAUACAAGCUUACAAGUGAGAUUUUUGAGUAGAAAGAUUCUUUGUUGGUUGUAUAAGGUUGGGAAAGUUGGGUUGUGAGGUUGCUCAAGUGAAGGUUACUCUCUAGGAGGAGUAAAACCUUGGUGAAGAUAAACCUAUCACUUGGAGUGGUAAAACCUUGGUGAAGGUUGCCUCAUGUGUAUAAAAUAGUUCUUAAUUGGGUGAGUGAUCUUUCAAGUGUAGGUUGUUGAGGGUUAACUAGUAUAGUUGUAAAACUCCUUGGCUCAACCAAAGAGUGUUUGGGGUGAGGAAGGAGUGAGCCUUCACUUGUACAUCUUGGUUAGCAUCGCCAUCUAUUGAAGAGGCUAUUGGAUUGAUAUUUGGUUUGCAUUUUUUAUCUUUUCUCUUUAAUUAAGUUUUCUUUAUUGUGCUUAAAUUUGAUAUAUCUUUGUGUAUCAUUGUGAAUUUGUUUGUACUCAUUGGGUUGCACCGGGCACUUACAUAUUGUGAUAAUUUUUUGACAAAAAUAUUGUAAAAAGAUGAUUGAAAAAUGAUAAUUUUUUUGAUAUGAUAUAUGUCAGAUAAAAAGAUGAUUGAAAAAUUUGUUGAUGAUACAAACAAAUACAAUUUGACAAAUAAUCUACUAUCCAAACAAAGACUAGAUUUUCUAUGUGCAAAUAUGCUAGGGUAACCGAUUCACAACGCAUUUGAUAAAGCGGUUAUUGAGCACAUUUUGCACUAUUAUUCUGCCCUAAUUUUGGCUACUCAUGGUGCUAAGAAUUGGGAAUUUGCUCAUAUUUGAUAUUUGUGUAAAUUGUAGGUGGUUGCUGUUAAAAGUAAUCUUUUGAGGCAAUUUCCAGAAGACCCUUUAUUUUAGGACGUGCCCACGCCAGAAAUUAUAGAGGGCUACCCAAAAACCGGACCCGCGAGCUUGGUAACAGUAGGAUAACCAAUUAAGGAACUAGGUCCGCGUGGACCAGAUGCGUGGGAUUAGAACCCUUAGACAAAGCUUGCUCCUGAUUUGACUCCUACGGGCGGCGCUACAAAUAAGAAAACAAGCUAGAUUCGCGGGGAAUCAUCUACCUUAGCUUUAAUUUUCCUUUUUUCACAUCUGUCAGACAUCAAAGAAUUUUUCCUUGUUUUUUUUGGCUUUUACGUUUUGACUCUUUUGCUUUUGCUUUGGAUCUGUACAAUUUUCAUUGGCUUUGGCAUUGAACUUUCGGAUCCAGUACGGACUCCAAUGCAGAGACAAGCAAGACUUUUCACUUUUUCUUUCUUUGUUAUUUCAUCGGUCCAGAUUCUUUGAUGUUUGUGUGGAUGAAAUCAAUUAAAUUGCGCGAGAUUGAUAUGACGAGGAGCGGCUAAAUUCCCCUUCUACCCAAGGGUUAACGCGAAGGCGCGGUCCAUAACAUCUGUGAGAUCUAAUCGAAUUUUCACUAUUUCGUCCAAUUCGUUACUAUUUAUGUGUUUCCUGAAUUAAUUGUUCAUGGGUAUUUUAUUAAUUGGGUAUCAGCGGCCGGAUAUUUAAUUUAAUAUAAUAGCCUAUUGGUACAUUAAUUAAAUUGAAUCCGUAAUUGUUCGUUUAGUUGACAAAUAGUGACAACCACCAUAAUUGGUUUUAUGUUGGAGAAACACAAGAUCUAAUUUAAAUAAACUCUCUUAGCGUGUUUAUUGGUUAGGGUUGGGUUUUUCUAGUUUUAAUGCAACUGGAUAACUAAAUUCCUACGGUCGUACCUAGGGUUGUUUUCUGGUUAGAGAAGCAGUCAAUGAUCGUAGUUUGACUGUCGAAAAAGUAAGGAAGAACUGGUUGUCAGAUCUUAUUGAUAACUAUAACCAACCUAGUGACGGAUGGAUGAAAUAUCUUUGCAUCGAUGAUCAUUUAAUUGGACCGUGCCUGAAAACUUGAUUCUUUGGGUAGAAUUUUAUUAAUUGCUAUUUUUAGUAAAUUGUACUUGUGGAGUUAUCUUUUGAAUUUUAUUUAUUUUAUUUUCGUUUCCAUCCCAUUAAUUAUCCCCUAAUUUUAUUCUAUUGAUUUAAAAAGAAACAACUUCCUACCCGUUCCCUGUGGAAUCGACCCUACUUGCCAUUGUACGCAAAAUUAAUAUUUUUAUAGACAAUUCAGGUAUAUCGGACCAAGCAAACUCUUCGGGAAUAGGGUAAAUCAAGUAAUCCAUUACACAUUUAGGGUCCCUACUCUAGUAUUUGGAUUUGUUCUAUAAUUAAUUGUGAUGGUAAUUAGGACUUUUUAGUAAUUAUUAUUGCACAGGUUCGGUAUCUGUCAAUUUUUGGCGCCGUUGCCGAGGAACGGUAUUUUGAUUAAUUUUGUUUCUUUCUAAGUUAUUUUCUUUGGAUUUGUCUGACAUUUUUCUAGUUUAUGCCUCGUUCUUCUCAUACAGGAGAAUUGAUUUUCGAUCCGGAAGUAGAGAAGACUUCGUGUCAAACUAGAAAAUAGACUAGGCAACUCAGAGAGGAGCAAUCGAGCACUGCAUCUCAGGAACUGGAUCCUGAGAUUGAAUCAGCAGAUUCGAGUGGUGAAAAUUCAAGUGACCCAGGCCAAGAAGACAUCCCUAUGGCGAAUGCAAGAACACUAAGGGAGUUGGCUGCUCCGGAAUUGCCCCAGCAGCCGCUGUGCAUCACAUUUCCAACUCUAGCUGAAAAUGCCUCAUUCGAACUAAAGUCGGAGUUGAUUCACCUUUUGCCCACAUUCCAUGGCCUUUCGGGGGAGGAACCCCAUAAACACAUUCAAAAGUUCAAUGUGGUAUGCUCCAGUAUAAAGUCUCCAGAAAUUACUGAGGAGCAGAUCAAACUUAGAGCCUUCCCAUUCUCCCUCAAGGAUGCAACAAAGGAUUGGUUGUACUACUUACCUGCAGGCAGUGUUACAACAUGGACCCAACUGAAAAAGAAAUUUUUGAAAAAAUUCUUCCCUACAUCCCGGGCUGCAAGUCUGAGAAAGGAGAUUUGUAGCAUUAAACAGUACCCUGGAGAAUCCCUAUAUGACUAUUGGGAGAGGUUCAAUAAGUUGUGCACUAAAUGCCCACAACAUCAAAUUAGUGAACAACUAUUGAUCUAAUAUUUCUAUAAGAGGCUCCAGUCAUCCGACAGGAGUAUCAUUGAUCCUGCGAGCGGGGGAGCAUUGGCAAAUAAGACCCCGAGGGAAGCAUGGUUGCUCAUUGAAACUAUGACAAAAAAUUCACAACAGUUUGGCUUCCGCGAGAGUAACCCUACCCGUAGGGUUAACAAGAUAGAGACAUUAUCCAUUCAGCAGCAGCUAUCAGAGCUAACAUCUUUCGUUCGCCAAUUAGCUGUGGGAAACGGGCACCAAGCAAAGGCCUGUGGAAUCUGCACAAAUGUGGGUCACCCCACUGACUCAUGCCCUAUGUUGCAAGAGGAUGGGGCUAAACAUAUGAACAUGACUGGAGGCGUGCCCGCGCCUCGUAGGCAGUACGACCCACACUCGAACACGUACAAUCCGAGUUGGAAAGAUCACCCCAAUUUCAGCUAUGAUAAUAGGCCACAGAAUUCAUUCUCCAAUCGUCCACCAGGAUUUCGGCAACCAUGGCAACCAAAGCCACAACCUUUAUCAUCUAACUCAGGAAGUUCCUUGGAGGAAAUUGUCAAGAGUUUGGUCACGACUACCACUCAGCUCCAACAGGAGACUAGGGCCCUGGUCGCGAACAAUACUCAGUUCCAGUAGGACACCAGAGCAAGCAUGAAAAACAUGGAGACUCGAAUGAAUCAAAUGGCAACCGUCAUUAAUCGCUUGGAGUCCCACGUUUAUGGAAAACUACCAUUACAAUCCAAGAUAAAUCCCAAGAAUGUAAGUGCCAUGACACUAAAGAGUGGCAAAGAGGUGGAGGGACCUAAGUUGGUAAAUUCGAAAAGCAAAAAGUGAGGAGGAGAUAGAAGAGGGAGUUGAAGAGGAACGGCACAUUCGCGAAGAGUCUAAGGUAACAUCUAUUCCUUUGAUGCCUAUUAAAUCUAAUCUAGCUCCUUUUGCUUGCAGGUUGGAAAAGACAAAUAGGGCAGAAAAGGAAAAAGAAAUCCUGGAUGUGUUCCGCAAAAUUCAAGUAAACAUCCCCCUAUUGGAUGCGAUCAAACAGGUAUCCAAGUAUGCAAAGUUCUUGAAAAACUUGUACGUUAACAAAAGAAAGCUAAGGGAUGAUGAGAGAGUGAUGGUAGGAGAGAAUGUAUCAGCUGUACUUCAAAGGAAACUCCCACCCAAAUGCGAGGAUCCAAGCAUGUUUACUAUCUCCUGUAAGAUUGGAUGUUCUAAUAUCGAAAAUACCAUGCUAGUUUAGGAGCCUCUAUUAAUGUGAUGUCUAAAUCAAUCUAUGAUUCCCUAAAUUUAGGACCUUUAAAAGAAACAAGAAUAAUAAUUCAAUUGGCUGAUCGUACAUUUGCUUAUCCGGAUAGAAUAGUUGAGAAUGUUUUAGUGCAAGUAGAUGGAUUAAUUUUUCCUGCUAAUUUUUAUGUGCUUUACAUGGAUGAUAGAAGUGUCCCAAAUCCAUCACCCAUUAUAUUAGGAAGGCCAUUCUUGAGUACUGCCCAAACUAAGAUUGAUGUUAGUAAGGGUACUUUCACAAUGAAAUUUGAUGGAGAAACAGUCCAUUUUAAUAUUUUUGAUACAGUGAAACAUCCUGUUAACUCUUAUUCUGUGUUUGUUAUUCAUGCUACUGAUCCAUCUGUGCAAAAAUUUUCUGAGUUUGCUUGUAGAAGUAAAUUCAAAGUUGCUGCAAACAAGUAUCAUGGAAUGAAAGCAAUUCAUGAGGUGAAAAUGGGUAGAAAAUUAAGAAAAAAUGUUGCAUUCAAUGGCUAUUUGGAUCCCGGAGGAGGGCCACUGAUUACAAGAAAAAUUGAAUUACAUCCAAACUGAAGAGCGGUGUAUAGUGUCUAGCCAAAGACAUUAAAGAAAGACACUACUUGGAAAGCAAUCCAAGGAUUUCAAUUGUGUUCUAUUUCAUAUUUGUGUGCUCAAGACCAGUGGGUUUAGAUUCCUAUUGACAAUAUUUAUUAUAGGUCAUGGGUGUUUCUGUGUAGUUUUAUUCUAGGUUGGACGCAAAAAAAAAAAAUUUUGUGGGCAGAAGACUUCAUGUUACAAGGCGUGCCCGGGCCUUGUACUCACCGCACAUGAAUAUUUGUAAAAUUUGGUGAACAGAAGACCUCGACCUCCAAGGCAUGCCCACGCCUUCCAACCUUUGCAACAAUGAAAGUAAAAAAAAAUUGACCAGGACCUUCUCUAACCCCACUUUUCUACUUUUCUUUUUUCUUGUCUUGUCUGGUCUUUUUAAUUUCCUCUGUCUUAGUUUCUACUUUUCAAUUUCCUUUGUUUUGUCUUAGUUUCAGUUUCUUCGUUUCCUCUUUUCUUGUUAGUCUGCCGCGCACAGCGCGUCGCCGUGGCGUGCUCCUCUUACCAUACUCCUCCUACUGGGGAUUCCCAAUACUGUGCCCUCCAAGAUUCUAUCCAUGAACUAGGUGAGCAGGUUGAGGGACUAGAUGGCCGUCUUGCAGCGCUGCAGGUUUUUGCUCGCAUUCAGGUGGAGAACUAGGCAGCUUUCUUUACGCAUAUUGGAUUCACUCCACCUCAUCCUCCUCCCCCUUAGUGUCUAGCUGCAGCCUCUCGGUAGUCAAGGAAGUUUCUCUCCUUUUCUCCUAAUAUUUCAUUUGUCUUUUCUACAUUGAGAACAAUGUAGGUUUUAGGUGUGGGGGAGUAGUUCCCAUUAUUUCUUUUGGUUUCCAUUAUUUCUUUUGGCUUUGGUACAAAAAAAAACAAAAAAUGGAAAACAAAAAAAUGAAAAAAUGAUGAAAACAAUGUAGUUAGUCGGCUUUCUGUUCAUUUCUAUGUUUGUUAGUACUGGAGCAUAUUGCUAUGACGAAUUAUACAAUCAUGGUGCACAGGUAUGUGGUCAAAUAUGCUAGUUGGGCAUUUUGUUUUUGCUUUGCAAUAUCAUUGAAUGUUGAAUAUGCUGGACUUGAUCCAUUCUUAAAACUUUUGGGAGCUUUUGAGCCAUACAUGAGCACAUUAUUCUUGUUUGUUCUAUUUUUGUUUGAUUGAGUGGGUAUCACACAUGGUAUUGGUAUUCUAGAACUUGCUAUUUUGUACAUGUCGAGAUCACAUUUUGUUGAAGUGGAUGCAUUUGAAAUAAUAAGGGCAUUUAGGAUUUGACCUUCUUUAGCUUUCUAAAAACCAUGCAUUCAUCUUAUCUCCCGAUAGUGAAUCAAUUUGAAUUUUUAUCCUUCGCUUUUGUUUGUUAGUCGUGUUUGAUAACCCAUGACCUUUUUAUACUUUCUUGUUCAACCUUGUGUCAUUAAGAGAUGUCUGAAAUUCGGCAAAUAAAUCUAGGGUCGCAAGUGUUGUCAAAAUAGAUGCUGUAUGAUGUUGUUUCUGUACAUCUGAGAUCGAAAAAAAAGAAAAAAAGAAAAAAAAAGGAAAAAAAGGGGAAGAAAUUGUCAAUAAGAUGGUGAAACAGACGACUCUGUCUUACAGGGCGUGCCCACGCCUUGCAAUUACUUAACUCAACCAAAAAAAUAAAAAAAAUUUUGGCGACACUUGCACAGUGGGUGUAGCAAAUGAAACUGCCUUAUUUGUGAAACUCCUCCGGUGAAGCAUUGUGGUUAUAUGGUGGGUUUCUGAUAUUCGAGGCACAUACCGGUUGAAUGAUCCCUGGCAUAACAAAUUCCACAAGUUGCAGCAGCCAUUCUUUCAAUAAGAGAGUUUAGUGCCUCUGAAUAUGCAAACUUAGAAAAAAAACAAGCCUCAUUGUCUUCCCUGGAAACAAAAUCCAGUCUAUCACCAAAAUCCGGAGUGUUAGAAGCCAUAAACUAUAUAAAAAAAAUAAGAGAAAAAUAAACAAAAAAAAAAUGAAAACAAGAUGAACUCAAAAAGAAACAAAUUAAUCUGACACCAGUCCCCGACAACGGCGCCAAAAAUUGACAGGGUGUCGAACCUGUGCAAUAAUAAAUACCUGCUUAAAUAAAAUAUAAUUUCUGUAGAUAGUGAUAAGCAGGGUCGAAUCCACAGGAAUUGGGGAUAAUUUAUUUCUUUAGAGUCCGAAGUAUGGGGGAUUUUUGAAAAUGAGAGUAACUAAACUACUUGGAAUAAAUUAAAAUAAAAUAAAACAACUACAACUCAAAUAACUAAUUAUCACAAUAAAAAUAAUAAUGGACGAACUCUAACCAAGAGACAACUUCGGAGAUGGUUCACUUAAUUCGAUCACAGAUGCAAGGAUUAUUCCAGUUACUAUCUGAUAAAUUAGUUAUAGUUGUCAUACACGCGAUAAACAACCAACUCUUCCUCAAUUUGUCGAAAGCCAAGGUACGACCGUUGACUAUUUCUCUAAUCAGGAAAUAACCUUAGGUACGACCAUAGAAGUUCAAUUCCCUAAUUGCAUGAAUAAUUAGAAGAGCCUAAUUCUAACCAAUCAACACGCUACGAGGGUCUCUUUAAGUUAACCUGUCUAUCUCCCUGACACAAACCCAAUCAUGCCAGUUGCCACCAGUUUAGAAUAAUUAAACAAUUACGGAUUUAACUACCCUAAUUGGUUUCAGGUUAUUGAAUUAAUCUAGAAUCCGGGCCCUGGAUAAUCGAAUAAUAAAACAACCAUAUGAACAUAAAGCAGAAGAUAGACGAAUACCAGUGAAUAAUGAAAAUAAAUAAAAACUAAUUCGAUCUCACAAAUUUAGUAGAACCAAGUCCUCCGUUGUUCCUCGACUAUAUGAGAAACUUAGCCACGCCUCAUGAGAAAAUCUCCAAGUGAUUUUACUGAGGUCCAAGCCAUCAAAGGAACUAAGAAAGAAUAAAACUAAACUAUGCUAAAAACUAAGCUAAAACUAUUGAUAAGAGCUUCUGUGUAUGUUUGUUUCUCUUUUUAAAGCCAAAUGACUAAUACCUUCCCUCUUUUCUGUGGUCCCCGCACGAAUUGAGAGUCCAAUUCCAUCUCACAAGCCUUUGUACGUUUCUUUUCCAAGAGCCCAAAUGACUCAUGCUUCUUAUCUCCGUGGUCCCACGAGAUUCCCCAAUCAAAGUCCAAAAGGUAAGGCCUCUUAAUGUUUCCUCUUUUCUCGUUUCUCAUUGCUCCUAGGACUCCUAGGAUUCAAGACACUCCUCAUCAGCAAAGGAAAUGCAGUCCGCAUCUAUCACAAUGUGGGCCAGGUCUGUGGCUUAGUUGAAGUCUCAAUUGUUUCCAGAAAGUCCCUCUUUUUUUGUAAUUUUCUGCUUCACUCCCUGAAAUUGGGUCCAAUACCAAAUAUAAGUAAAUAUUAAUAAUUAAAAUAAUAUUUGGCAAGGAUAAAAGGGAAAUUAAUAAUAAAAUAACCAAUAAUUAACACCCUAUCAGUUUCGGACAUUCUCUUGACAUAUUACCCCCUAUCUAUACCUUUCUAUCCCAUUUUUUACCUAAGCCCCAUUACAACCCUAUCAAAAUUCCUUUGAUUUGUGUAUUUAGUUCAUUUUUGAGUGGUGGAGAUGUGAUAAAUGUGCAAACUUAUGGUAAUGUCAUUCCGUGAUGUUGAUUUGAGCGUUCCUAGUAUUCAUACAUUUUUUUUGAAUUACCACCUGUCCGGUGUGUUCUAAUUUUGGCAAUAUUGUCAGGAAUGCGGGAUGUUUGAGGUAGUAUAGAUGACUAAGAAACCGUUGCUAUCUUGAUUGUGCUUCUGAGCUCCAAAAUGCUUGAGGGCAAGCAUUGUCUAGAUGUGGGGAGAUUUGAUAGAACGGUUAUUGAACACAUUUUGCACUAUUAUUCUGCCCUAAUUUUGGCUACUCAUGGUGCUAAGAAUUGGGAAUUUGCUCAUAUUUGAUAUUUGUGUAAAUUGUAGGUGGUUGGUGUUAAAAGUAAUCUUUUCAGGCAAAUUUUCAGAAGACCCUUUAUUUCAGAACGUGCCCACGCCAGAAAUUAUGGAGGGUUACCCAAAAAUCGGACCCGCGAGCUUGGUAACAGCGGGAAAACCAAUUAAGGAACCAGGUGCGUGGGAUUAGAACCCUUAGACAAAGCUUGCUCCUGAUUUGACUCCUACAAGUGGCGCUACAAAUAAGAAAACAAGCCAGAUUCACGGGGAAUCAUCUACCUUAGCUUUAGUUUUCCUUUUUUCACAUCUGUCAGACAUCAAAGACUUUUUCCUUGUUUUCUUUGGCUUUUACGUUUUGACUCUUUUGCUUUUGCUUUGGAUCUGUACAAUUUUCGUUGGCUUUGGCAUUGAACUUUCGGAUCCAGUACGGAUUCCAACGCAGAGACAAGCAAGACUUUUCACUUUUUCUUUCUUUGUUACUUCAUCGGUCCACAUUCUUUGAUGUUUGUGUGGAUGAAAUCAAUUAAAUCACGCGAGACUGAUAUGACGAGGAGCGGCUAAAUUUCCCUUCUACCUAAGGGUUAACGCAAAGGCGCGGUCCAUAACAUCUGUGAGAUCUAAUCGAAUUUUCACUAUUUCAUCCAAUUCGUUAUUAUUCAUGUGUUUCCUGGAUUAAUUGUUCGUGGGUAUUUUAUUAAUUGGGUACCAACGGUCGGAUAUUUAAUUUAAUCUAAUAGCCUACUGCCAUAUUAAUUAAAUUGAAUCCGUAAUUGUUCGUUUAGUUGACAACUAGUGGCAACCACCAUAAUUGGUUUUAUGUUGGGAAAACGCAAGAUCUAAUUUAAAUAAACCAUCUCAGCGUGUUUAUUGGUUAGGGUUGGAUUUUUCUAGUUUUAAUGCAACUGGAUAACUAAAUUUUUAUGGUCGUACGUAGGAUUGUUUUCUGGUUAGAGAAUCAGUCAAUGGUCGUACCUUGACUGUCGAAAAAGUAAGGAAGAAUUAGUUGUUAAAACUUAUUGAUAACUAUAACCAACCUAGUGACGGAUGGAUGAAAUAUCUUUGCAUCGAUGAUCAUUUAAUUGGACCGUGCCUGAAAAGUUGAUCCAUUAGGUAGAAUUUUAUUAAUUGCUAUUUUUAGUAAAUUAUACUUGUGGAGUUAUCUUAUGAAUUUUAUUUAUUUUAUUUUUGUUUCCAUCCCAUUAAUCAUCUCCCAAUUUUAUUCUAUUGACUUAGAAAGAAACAACUUCCUACCCGUUCCCUGUGGAAUCGACCCUACUUGCCAUUAUACGCAAAAUUAAUAUUUUUAUAGACAAUUCAGGUAUAUCGAACCAAGCAAACUCUUCGGGAACAGGGUGAAUCAAGUAACCCAUUGCAUACCUAGGGUCCCUGCUCUAGUACUUGGAUUUGUUUUAUAAUUAAAUAGGGACUACUUGUCCUGUAUUCAGAUAUGCCAUUGUAAUAGAACUUUAGUAUACUUAGAUAGUAUAUUAUUUAGGAUAAUUUUUUGACAAAAAUAUUGUAACAUUUUUUUUGAUAUGAUAUAUGUCAGAUAAAAAGAUGAUUGAAAAAUUUGUUGAUGAUACAAACAAAUAAAAUUUGACAAAUAAUCUACUAUCCAAACAAAGACUAGAUUUUCUAUGUGCAAAUAUGCUAGGGUAACCGAUUCACAACACAUUGUAUGAAACUUUAUUCCCCAUGGUGUUGCAUGUUAUUCGUGUUUGUUUUGGUGAUAAUUAAGCCCCAGUGAGGCCAUAAUUGAGUAGAACUUGAAGUAGAAUUUUAUUUAUUUAUUUUUGGAUAAGAUUUUAAGGGACCCAAAUGAUACAAUUUGAAGUAGUAUAUUGAAAAUUCAAGAAUUUGAUAUCUUGGUAUUUCUAGAAUUUAAAAGUUGGAUUUUAACCAAAAAAAAAAAAAAGAAUUCAAAAAGUUGGAUAUUGUGAGAAAAAUCAAGUGGGUCCAAGUUUGUUAUGUCUAUCCUACAAUAGUACAAUGAGUGGACAAUAAUAAAUAUGGGAAAAAUACACUUUUUAUCCCUAAUGUUUAAGGUGUUAACCAAUUUCGUCCCUAAAGUUUCAUGUAAAACAUAUUUCAUCCUUGUAAUUUGAUAAUUUUAACUAAUUUCUUUCUUAAAGUUUCACACGAACACAUUUCAUCCUCAUAGUUUAAUAUAUUUGGCUAAUUGAGGACAAUUAGUGGAUUGUCAAUGAUUUUAAAUAGAAUAUUGUCACUUGACCACAACAUGCCCAUUAGUAAAAAAAAAAAAAACAUUGGAUCAACAAAAAGGUUAAAAAUCUUUUCUUAAUCCACUUUCUCAUUUUGGUACCAAAAAAAAAACUUAAGAAAUUUUUAGCCACCAUUACUGUCUUCUUAAUCACAAUCGAACAAGAAGAUAUAUCUAAAGAAAAUGAAGUCAUGGAAAACAAACAACCCCACUAUAGCCAAUUGGAAAAAAAUGUCAAACAACUCCAUUACAACUAAUUGGAGAAAAAUAUUAAUGUGAAAGAAAGAAUGGUUUGAAUUGUCAUUUAUUUGCAAAAUUUUGUUUUGCUGCUGUGUAUUUUGCACCAACAGUUGUAUCAUGUAUACGUUUUUCAAUCAUCUAUUCAUCUUUCAAUCUAUUUGUUUUAUCUCAAAUGCAUUAUAUCAUAAUUUUAAAAAACAAAGAGAUAGUCUCAUAUCCAAAAACACUUGUUAAUUUUGUAAUUUAAUCAAUAACUGAAUUAAGUAUUAAUAAUACAAUUACUAAUGGGACAUGUGAUGAUAUUAUGUCCAAAUUGGUUAACAAUCAUUUAAUUGUCCUCAAUUGAUAGAAAUUAUGAAACUAUCGGGAUGAAAUGUGUUCUACAUAAAUUUCAGGGACAAUUGGUCUAAAUUAUAAAACUAUGAGGAUAAAAUAUGUUUAGAAUGAAACUUUAGGAACGAAAUUAGUUAACACAUUAAACAAUGGGGAUGAAAAGUGCAUUUUUCCUAAUAAAUAUUUUUGUUUGUUCCUUCUUCUGUCGUUCGUACUAAAACAGUCAACGGGAAUGACGCCGCUCCGAUGUUCACAAAAUAAUUGGUUGGAUUCCAAACUAGGCAUUAAAAUAAGGAAACAAGUCUAUGACUCUCAAUUUGAAGCUGUGCUAUCAUAAAUUGUUUAAGAAUACCGCUAAUGGAACACUUAUUGAGUGUGCAAUGCAAUCAAAUUUUAAUUUUUUGCAAAGUCUAAGUUUUGAAAAUUAAAUACUGGUAAAAACUAUAAUUCGUGGAAAGGUUUUAUAUUUAUUUGACAAAAUAUUUAAUUCACUUCAUAGAGGUAAGAUAUGAAUUUUUAUUCAAUGUGUAAUUGGUUUCUUUUGAAAUAAAAGGUAGUAGUUAUAUUGAGUUUAAUAUAUAUUGUGAGUAGUUGAUGUCUAAAAGUUGCAAAUUGUUUUAGGUAUAUGAAAAAAAGAGAGAUUAUAUUAGGUGUAAAAGCCAACAUAGGUGUUUUAGAGCAUUAAAGCAAGAGAAUAUUGAAAGCUUGGUUUAGGAAAUACUAUGAUAGUUUGAUCUAUUGCAUAUAAGAACGAGAAAAUAACUGUGACCACUUCCUUAUCUUACCAAAGUACAAUUAUAUUUUGUUAAAAAAAAAAUCUCCAGCAAAGGAAGGGUGAGAUUGAUUUAAGAAGCAGGGAGGAAAAAAAGAAUUUGAACUCAGAAAUUUUCACCAAAGAUGCCUUGUUCUAGUAGUUAAAGUUGAAAUUCCAAAAAUUAGAGUAUUGAGUUCAAAUCCCUCUGCUUCCUUCCCACUUUUUAAGUUCCAUGUCUCUCCUUUUUGAAAAAAAAAAAAGAAAUAGUAAAGUACACUCAUGUUAUAGUACAUCACUAUUUGGUACUUUAUAUAUCCCUAUAACAUAUAAGAAGACGUUUUGUGGGUUACUGUUCAUUGCAUUUCAUCUGCCUCCUUGGGGGUUUUUUUGUCAUUCCAGCCUCUUGCUUAUUCUUUUUCUUGGAGCUGGUACAACUGGUUGCUGCUUUGGAGAAUAUGUCUUUUCUAUCCUUAUUACAAGCCUUAGCCGGAUGUUAGUGGAAUGUUGGCUGUUUUGCAACAUUAAUGAGAUUUGAUGCUCAUUUCUAUCAGCCAACUCAUUUGCCUUGUUUAAUUACAUUUUUCUCCUUCCAAAUGCUCAUUGAAUAGACUGAGCAUUUUGAAUUCAUGUGUAACAGAGUCAUUUCACAAUAGCCUUCUACUUUUGCUAUUGAAAAUUAGAAAAUUGAGUCUUCUCUUCUCCGUGUUCUCCUGCUACAUGCAUUCAUUAUCCACAACUCUUUGUCUAUAUCCACAACUCUCCGUUCUAUCCUACUGCCUUUGUUAUUGCAUUGAAAAAUCCCAUAUCUAGGUUCUAUUUCCUUUCUGCUAAAUCUUUGUUUUCUACCUUAUUCAUGAUAUGAACUGUAAACCAUAUUUACUAUUAUUGUCAUGCUUGGUGUUAGCUUUGCAUAUUCAGUGUACAAUGGCUUCAACUGAUGCACUUGCACAUUCAACGGAUAAGAAGAUUCAUUGCAACAGAAGAUUAAGAGAAAAAUAUGCUUCCUUAUCAGUGGAAGAAAAAGAAGCUUGUCGAGCUAAAUAGAAGGAAGCUUAUCUAAAGAGGAGAGCAAGGAAAGCUGCUGCAUCGACGUCUUCUAUGAACUGACAACAAACUAACAGUAUCUUAUUCAGUUUUGCUAGAAAUGAAAGCUGUGGUAUAAAUGUUUGGUGCUUCGCGUUUAUAUUGGUUUCUUUAGAUUUCUACUUAACUAGUUUAAUGGUUGAUUAAACUUCUUUAUGUGUAAAUUGACAGCAAACUUCUGUAAUAAAUAUAUACACAUGGAGAAGAGCUGUUGAGUUUGCCUGUAUCUGAAGUUUUUGAGUUUUCUGCUUCGCUGCCUUAAUAUUGGAUUAAAAAGAAAUCUUUAUGUUUGAAUUAAAAAAAAAUCUAUAAGAGAUGCAUGCGAAUGGAGAACAGCUUCUAGUUACUGUGAAAAGCUGUGCCAAUAUUUAAAUUAAAAUUGUAAUUUGCAUUAUGCUAAACAUGAUGUAAAUUAUCAAAACCUUUUAAUUCAGGUGCACAACUUCUAGUUUCGUGUGACCUAUGACAAAAUAAUGACCACAAUAACCAACAGGCUAUUGCUAUUAAACCACUUCCACAACAGAGUAGAGACAAAGAGGCUAAUUUGCAACAAUCUAUUGCUAUCAAAUUGGUUGUGCAACAACAUAACAAAAGUAAUUCUCUGUGCAAAUGCAAUGCUGAAUUAGAAGGCAAGUUGAAGAGGCAUGUUUUCUUGACAUUUGAACAUGGUAUGCUUGCACAAGUUCAUUACUCUUUAAAUUUUCUACGCCAAGUUGUUCCCUUUUUUUUUUUUUGCUCUUCUAUGUUUAUACAUGCAUUUUUUGAUCUUAUGUUCAUAUAGGUUCUUCGUUAAAAAGACAUUAAUUUAUAAAUGUAAAAGAAUCAGUAGACUAAACGUUUCAAGUAUAUCUUGUUAUAAUCAUAUUUAUCAAUGUACGCUUCAUAUAAUAAUUUCUAUGCUUGCAACUAGUAGGUGAUCCUCCUAUAUGUGAUAGCUGCUAUAAAUUCUUGCAUGAAACAGUUGAUGAUCUUGCAGGUUGAAAUCCUUAAUCCUAUUUUUAUAAAUAUUUGCUCAAUGUCGUUUGGUUGCUAAACUUGAUUUAGGCUCUUACAGUUUCUUAUUUGCCUAAUCAGGUAUAUCUAUGACAAUAUGCCCUCAACCAGUGGAAGCCAAUGUUUCUCAUGCCAUGAAAAAUUGUCCAAAAGGUAUGCAUAUCUAAAAUGUAUCUGGAAAUGUUGUAGAAUCUAUAUGUAUGUAUAUCAGCAGCAUGAUUUUUUUACCUCGUAACUAACCAGAUUAUUGAACUACCAACUAGAGUAAGUAAGCGCAAGUAGAUUCAUUGCUCACUCGAACCCAUUCCUCUUGCUCUACCUAUUGAGUGCACAGAUGACUCGCGAAAAAAACUAUAGAGAGCGACCGAAGCUCGUCAAGCCCCGAUCCUUCUUCAGCCAUAAGAAAGCCAAGACCAGACUUGGGGAGAACUACUCUGUCCACACCUGUCCCAUUCCUUCUCUCUUCAGUAAGCGAAUCAGCCAGUAAACUUGAAUCUGUGGGUAGCACAAAAAGAGUAGCUUGGUUCCGUUUCGGUUUAUACACCAGGGCCAAAACCUUACCAUGCCAACACUCUUCCGGUUCGAUAAGACCAGCUCUUUCUAUAGCUGCAUUUCAUCUUCCCCUCAAUUGCUCUGUAGGCAAAAGCUCAAGCCAAAGGAGAUCAAACAUCCAAGCAAAGAAGGCUUGCAUGCAAAACAAGGGUAUCAUUGCUGUUUCUUUAUCUUACAUCUAUACAUAUUCAAAUAUUUAUACCUCUUUCAUAUGCACAUAAAAUAGUCAUAAAAAUGCUUUGUGUCCUAUUAUUCUACAACAUCUAAAAAUAUAGCUGGUGUAGAUGUUCUGAAUUUCAUUAACCAUAGUGCAAACCGCCUCCCUGAUGCAUUAGAUUGUAAAUAUUGUGGAUCAAAAAAAUUCUACUCAGAGACAGCAAACUUUUGCUAUUUUGAUGGCAAAGUUCUGCUCCAUGAAAAUAAGCUACCUAACAUCUUAAUUGAACUUUUUAGUGGUCAGAGCGGAGAAGCUAUACAAUUUCGAACCUAUGUCAGGACCUAUAAUAGCAUGUUUGCAUUUACUUCAUUUGGUGUUCACUAUGAAAAAUCCCUCUGCAAGAGAACAAAUGAAAUCUAUAUAUUCAAGAUACAAGGCCAAACCUAUCAUUUCAUCAAUGAACUAAUAAGGCAUGGAGGAUUAGGAAUGUAUCUUCAGCUUUAUUUUCAUGACACAGAACAUAAAAUUCAGAAUCGAUUAGCAAUAUCAAAAAAGCUGACUGAAAGUAUUGUAGUCAAACUAAUGGAAGUAAUGAAAGAAAAUCCAUAUGCUUGCUUCUUCAGGAGUUUGAGAAAUCUCCCAAACUUCGACUCAUAUCAUAUAGUUUUAAAAUCUCACUCCGACAAUGACCAGCAAGUGUUUAAUAAACCUGCUGUAUCUCAAGUUGCAGCUUUAUGGGUUAAAUGAGAAAACGCUAAUCAAGGCUAUUCUAGACACAUACAAAUAUAUACUAAAGAAGGACAUAGCCACCGCAUUCAAUAUUACUACGGCUACUGUGACCCUCUUCAGUAUUCACUACUUUUUUCAUUCGGAGAAACUAGAUGGCAUCCAGGUAUACAACAAUUAGGGAUAGACAAUCCAAAAAAGCGUAAAAGAAAGACUAUGAUACAUUCAUGUUUAGCUACAUUGUCCAGCAUUAAGUCGGCAGAAGAAAUGAUUGAUCUCGAAGAAGAAGGUAACACACAUAUACCAUUAUUAUAUAUAACUGUAUUGAAUUACAGUUAUCUCUUCUUUGACAAAUAUUCUAAAUCUUACAGCUUACAAGGCAAAUGAAAACUCCAAGGAAUAUGUAUCCAUGAUACAGUAUUAUGCAUAUAAAUUCUAGAUAAGAAAAAAAAUUGGGCCAAAUAUUUUAAACGCUUGAAGAGCUUUGCAACAGUAUUCAGUUGAUUUGUACGUUAAAAUAGAGACACAAAGACGAGAUUUUUAUAGAAGCAGACAACAGCAAAUACGUCAAGAGCAGCUACAAGGAAUUAUAGACAAUAUAAUACAGGGACAACAAAAUGGAUUUCGGAUUGAACUGCGAGUAAUAUUGCCUGCAUCAUUUAUUGGAGGCCCUAGAGAUAUGAAAAAAAAGGUAUCUUGAUACUACGACUUUGGUCCAGAAAUUUGGGAAGCCGGAUCUUUUUAUAACUAUGACUUGCAACCAAUCAUGGCCUGAAAUUAAAGAAAAUCUGUUAUAAUCAGAUGAAGCAUAGAAUAGGCUUGAUCUUAUUCCUCGUGUGUUCUAUGCAAAGUUAGAAAUUAUAAAGGAAGAGUUAUUCAAGAAGCAAAUAUUUGGAGAAAUAGUAGCCUAUACUUAUGUUAUAGAAUUUCAGAAACGUGGUUUGCCUCAUGCUCACUUUCCAAUUAUCCUCAAGCCUACUUUCAAAUUAUAUACAAUAGAAGAUUAUGAUUGUAUAGUUUUUGUAGAAAGACCCGAUGAAACACAAAUGAGCAUCUCUUUAGAAUGGUCAAGAAACAUAUGAUGCAUAGGCCGUGUGGCGAGAAAAAAACCUGAUACUGUAUAAAUACAGGAUGUAUCAAAGAAGUAUUGCAAGAAUAAUUAUCCAAAGGCAUGGGCAGAAAAAAUUAGACAUUCUUCGAACUCGUAUCCAACAUACAGAAGAAGAAAUGAUAGCAAAAAAAAUUUUAUCCGGGGGCACUACUUAGACAACAUAUGGGUAGUGCCAUACAAUGCUUAUCUAUUGGCCAAAUUCAAUUGCCAUAUAAAUGUUGAAAUUUGCUCCACAAUUAAGACCGUCAAGUAUGUGUAUAAGUAUACAUACAAAGGUCAUGCAAGGAUACAUUUUCAAGUGAAUUCAGGUGAUGGAGCAAAUGCUAUUGAUGAAAUCAAGGAAUAUCAGUCAGCACAGUAGGUAUUUGCAGUUGAAACGAUGUGGAGGAUAUAUAGAUUUCACCUUUACGAAAUGCAGCAUACUGUAAUAUAGCAUCAACUCCACCUAGAAAACUUCCAAUCUAUGCUCUUUCAACCAAAUGAUAGUCUUGACAAUAUAUUAAGUAACAAUUUUGUAAAAAGAAACUCACCCAAUUUUUUUAAAUGAAUGCUACAGAUAAUUUAACAAAAAGUUUCAAAUGUACCUACAAAGAAUCCCUCGAACAUUUUGUGUGGUAUCCAAGUUCCAAAUCUUAGCAACCUAGCAACAAAGAGAUUUUAUCAGUAGAGUUGUUGCAGCAAAUCCCCUUGAAAGUGAACGGUACUUCUUAGGACUCCUUUUACUGCAUGUUAAAGCCCCAACUUCUUAUGAUGAUUUAAAAACUGUAAACGGAGUGCAUGUUACUACAUUUUGGGAAGCAGCUGCACUUAGAGGAUAUCUGGAAUCAAAUAACUUACAAGAACAAUUUCUAGAAGAAACUAUUGUUUAUCAUAUGCCAUAUAGCCUAAGGAUGUUGUUUGCAACAUUAUUGGUUUACUUUACUCCCUCAAACCCAAGAACACUAUGGUUGAAAUUUGAAGAAUCAUUGUCUAAAGAUUACAAUGGAGUCCCAAACUUAACCAAAAAUGAUAUUCAAUUUAAAGUUUUACAUCAAAUAAGCAAUUUUUUAGAAUCUAUGGGUCGUAACAUAAACAGCUAUGGGCUGGUGCCAAGAGUACUAAAAUUUCACGACUCAAAUCACAAAUGCAAGAGAUACAAUUAGUGAAACAGAGAUUAAAGUUUCAGAGGAUGACUUGAUAUCAAUUACUAAAAUCAAUCCUGGUCAAAAAACAGCUUUUGAUGCUAUAAUGCAGGCGUUAUACAUUAAACAAAAGGGAUGUUUCUUUAUCGAUGGACCAGGUGGCAAACAGCUCACUCUCAAAUGAGUAAACAAAGUGAACUUGCUAAACUUAUUCAAACAGCUAAACUUAUCAUUUGGGACAAAGCUCCAAUGGCACACAAAACUAGUAUAGAAGGUGUGGAUGCACUACUAAAAGAUUCGAUGGAUUCUUCUGAAUUAUUUGGCUCAAACGUUAUGAUUUUUGGUAGUGAAUUUAGACUAGUUCUCCCCAUUGUCACUAAAGGUUCAAAGGAAGAUUUCACAUAAGCUAGCUUAGUAACUUCACAUAUUUGGCCAUAGCUUCAUAAACUGUACCUCACAGAUAAUAUGAAAGCAAUAUCAGACCCAAAAUUUACAAAUUACCUUCUCUGAAUAGGAAAUGGACUAGAACCAACAAUACAAGGGUUGAAAGUAAGGAUCCCUCUCCCACUACUAAUACCAUACAAAAGUGAAACAGAAUCAAUUUUUGAACUUAUUAAAAUAGUUUACCCAAAUGUGUUAAAUAAUUUGUUAAUUGAAAUUUUUUCAGGUGAGUCUCAAAAUUAUAUUAGUCGUGAUAAAACACAUGAAAUUUCAGAACAAGGCCAAUUUGAAGACUUUCUCAACAAAUUAACAUCCAAUGGUUUCCCCCUCCCACACAAGCUUAUUCUGAAACCAAAUUGCCCAAUAAUUCUUCUAAAAAACAUUGAUCCCCCAGAAGGCUUGUGCAAUGGAACAAGGUUAAUAUAUAAAAUUUUGACUAACAAUAUUAUUGAUGCGGUUAUAAGUGCUGGAGAAUUCAAAGGUAAACAAGUCUUUUUACAUAGAAUAUCUUUCCAAAUAGAACAUGAUACUGAUUGCCCGAUGUCAUUUGAAAUACUUCAAUUUCCUGUGCGUCUAUGUUUUGUGAUGACAAUUAAUAAAGCUCAAGGUCUAACUUUAGAUUCCGUUGGCAUAUACUUAUGUGAACCAAUUUUUUCACAUGGCUAACUAUAUGUUGCUUUAUGAAGAGUAAAAAAUAACAAUUGUGUAAAGAUUCUUAUACAGCCUUCUCCCUUUGAUCCAACAGUUGACUAUGCUACUAAUAACAUAGUAUACAAAGACAUUUUAUAGCUUGCAAGUCGCCACCUUUUAUAAUUAUUGAUUACAACAUUAUGACAUUCAUAUCCAUUGCACUUCUUCCCUAUACCUUUUCUGCGCAGCUAUAUUUCUGCACUAAUAAUAGCUUAACACCCAAUGGUUUGUCAUGCAUUGCUCUAUAUUUCACUUGCUUUUAUACUUUGUUAACCUAUAAAUAUGCAAGAAUCAAUGCUGCUAAUAGUUUAGCUGGACCUUCUUAAACUAAUAUUUAUCACUGUAUAUUUAUCUGGUAGCAUUAUACUGAUUCUCCAACAAUUACUGAUUAUCAUUCAUUUAGCCAAAAUACAUUAGAAAAAGCUAUCUUCAUAUUACAACAAAAAAUAAAGAUUAGCCAAAAAAAUUAUGAUUUAUUAUCUGUAACGCCUUCCUUACAUAGCAAGUCACUCAAGGUGUUUAAAAUAACUACUAUAUGAUUUUCUUUAGAAUAACUAACUUUGGCUAAUUUCAAUUUAAUUUGAACAGGUACUAUUUGAUUCUUCUAAAUGUGUUUUUUUACAAAUGACUAUUAUCUCUUUUUGUCAUGCUUAAUCUUCUUGUAGUAAAGUACUUAUUUUUCCAUGCUGAACAUUGAUGUCCUUUUAAUAAAUGAUAAAAUGUUGUAUAUGCAUAUAUAUUUUUCUGCCAUAUAUGAUUAUCUUCACGCCUCUGCCUUAUGUUUAAGCUUCAAAAAUUCAUAAUGCCUAGAUAUCCCUUGAGCUUGAAAUAACUGCGAUCUGUGACAAAGAUGAACUCCUUUCCAUAUUGAAGCAUAUAGACACAACUUGCUAUCUCUUACUCUUGUGUUACUUUGAGAGUUCAUGUUUUGUUCUAUUGAUUUGUGCUUACAUAUUCAUAACUGCAUCCUAUAAUUCAAUUUGUGGUUACACAUAAGGCAUCCAGGCUUUCUACAAGCUAUGUGAUCCUAAAUUCUAUGUUAAACGACAGAUGUCCAAACAUCUAAGACAUUACCAUCUCUACAUCUUCGCUGCCAGCUACCACUGCUUCAAUUCUUGAGUCAAUUUCCAUUUGAGCCACUAGCCCUUCUGAGUCAAUUUCUAUCUAUUACCGAAUACUUGCCAACCUUUCAUUUUCUCCAGACGCCCUAACAAUAAAGAAGCAAACCAUUUUCAAUCUCACUCAUUUGCAUAGACAGCAAAAUAAGGCAAAAUGGGUUAAGAACCUUCUCACCCAACUUCAGUCCUUCUUUUCCUUGAUCUACAAAGCAAAAACUUCAAAAAUUGUUUGUGCAAUUGUUGAUACGCUGACCAAAAUACUUGGUACAUUUGAUCUUCAGAUUGCCCUAUGCAAGGAAAUUGUACAAUGAAUGCAUAAUGAGAACCAAACUUUCCUCUGUCUGUGCACUAAGGCAAAACUCGCAACUCUUUUGAUGGAGAACGAGGAGUAUUCUGAAGCUCUAACUCUCCUUUCUUACACAUUAGAUAACAUUAAAUAACAAAUUGCUUUUCGUAGACAUUAGAUUGUUAAAGAGGAAGCUUCAUUACUCUUUCAAGAAUCUAUCUAAGACCAAAGCUGCACUUAUAGCUAUAACAAUACAUACUAUUUGAACAUUUACUAUUUCAUUCUCAUAAACAUUAGAACUUGUAGGCUCUUAUUAUCUCUUUAGUUACACAAUUGCUCGAGUAGUUCAGUAUUUCACCAUGAGUCUCCAACUGUUCCGCUGAAGUUGAUCUCAAAAGGUUUCAAGGUUCAAAAUUGGCUAACAAGAAAAGAAAGCUUACACAUUGAAAAAUAUUCUGUUGAAUAAGUAAUGCCUUAUGUGUAUUUCCUAUCACCUUAGCAUUGAGUUAAGCUUAUGCUUCAUUUAUGGUGCAAAUAAUGUCAAAUCUUUUGCAAAUAAUGCUUCAUUUAUUGAGUUAGUUUAUACUUUUACAACUGUCCUUAGGAAAUGUUCAAAAAAUAGAGGUUAAUGUUCAUUGCAUUUCAUCUACUCUCCUCGAGGGCACUUUUGUCAUUCCAGCCUCUUGCUUCUUCUUUUUCUUGGAGCUGGUACAACUGGUUGCUGCUUUUGUUUGGAGAAUAUGUCUUUUCUGCCCUUAUUACAAGCCUUAGUCGGAUGUUAGUGGAACAUUGGCUAUUCUAUAGAUGCUCAUUUUCCUCCUUCCAGAUGCUCAUUGAAUGGACUAAGCAUUUUGAACUCAUGUGUAAUAGAGUCAUUUCACAAUAGCCUUCUAUCUUGUACGAGAUGUUGACACAAGCUUGAACUAGCUUGUCAGUUAUUGCUUUUUUUUUUUAUAGCAAGAUACACAUAAUUCUUGCAAUUUUAUAACAAGAAACUCACACUAUUUUUAGCGAUUCUAUUGCAGGAUUACCAGAGAAGCUAAGUAUGAUUAAUGUCUCUAGCAUUAUGGUCAAUGUCUUUAGCGCUUGACAUCAUUUAAGCUAACAAUAUUAAUUUCAGCUGAACGUUGAUGUCCUUUUAAAAAAUGAUAAAAUGUUCCAUAUGCAUUUUUUUCUACCAUAUAUAAUUAUAUUACCAUAUAUAAUUAUAUUCAUAGCUCUACCUUGUGCUUAAGUUUUAGGGAGCCGUAAUACCUAUAUGUGCCUUCCUACUUAGUUUUAGCUUAUGAAAGUCAAGAUAUAUUAAAUAAUAAUAUAUUAUGUGUCAAAGAAAAACUUCUUUCCGCAUUGGAGCAUACAGACAUAACUUGCUACAAGAGCUAUUAAAUGGAACGAGCAGCUCGAAAGCUCGAUUGAGCUUGACUCGAUAAGGCUCGAGCUCGACUCGUUAAUUGUGAUAAACGAGUCGAUCUCGAGCUCGAGAUAUGCUCGUUUAAUUAACAAGCCGAAUAAACUCGACUCGUUUGUUAUCCGAAUAGCUCGAUUAGGCUCGAUAAGGAAGGGUGUAUAUGUCAUUUCACAAUACAACAGUAUAAAAUUAAAAAUUAUAAGUUUUUAUUGAGAUCAAUUUGCAAGCUCGGCUCGUUUGUGAUAAAAGAGUCGAGCUCGAGCCCCACAUGUCCCAUUUGGCGAGCCGAGUCCAAACACAUUUCAAAACUCUUCCGCCUAGUCGAGCGAGCUCGAGUUUGGCUCGAGUCGAGCUCGACAACCAAAUACUCAACUUGACUUGGCUCGAUUAGCAGCACUAUUUGCAACCUCUUAGUCUUAUGUUAGUUUCGCAGUCCAUGUUUUCUUCUACUGAUUUCUACUUGCAUUUGAUAUCAGAGCCUAGAACUUCAUGUGGUGAAAGCAGUUGCUGAUGCUAAUUCAUUGUAUGACACUUUCAGUAUUUCCUCCAUUCUAUUCUCUUGUUGCAUACUAUUGUGUUUAUACAUUUAUUCUAUUUAUAGAUUGUGUAUACAACUUUCGCUUUGCUGCUAUUAUCUAUUUCUUAUCUUCAAUUUCUUUUCUCUUAUGAUAGGUUGCAAUUUUAUCAUUUAUUUUAUUAUUAAUUUCCCUUAUUACCUGACCCAAUGUGGAUUAAUUAUUAAAUUCUACUCAUUUUUAGUAUUUUACAUUUAUUUCAGGGAGUAGAACGAAAAUAUGAUAACAAGUGUCAAUUUGACUGAAAAAGAGUCCAAAUAAUAGAGCUUAUCCCAAGGGCAUUUUUGGAACAAAUAGAUGCUAGCCCUUUUCGGUAAUUUUGUCGAAGACAACAUGGAAAAAGAACCAAAGGGCUGAAGUCUUCUUGGGAUUGCAUGGGCCGCCGCCGCACAGGAGCCAAGCUUUAGAAUGGCUAGGUAUUAGAUGGAAAGAAAAACGCAGAGAACAAGCACUAUAAAAGCUUAGCCGUGAACUUUUCCUUUCAUCUUUAGUUCCUCUUUGACUUUUCUUUUCGGUAUUUUUUGUCCUUUAGUAGCUUUGCUCCCUGCGCAUGUCAGGGAGAAUUAGGAAUUAGCUAUCACUUCUGGUAGUUUGUUUUUCUUAUCGACUGGGACGAAUUGAAUCUUCUUAACUCUCGGAGACGAUGGCCGAGACUCUUGUUUCAAUUUUGUGUGGAUUUUGUUCAUCAAUUAUGAACUAAUUUCCUCACUCUAGUCAAGGGACAACGGAUGCUUUGGGUCGCCUAAAAUUGUGAGAUCGAUUUAAUUUUAUAUUUUCUUUUUAUUUAUUGGUAUUCGCAUAUUUCCUGGUUACAGUGCUUAUGAUUGUUUAAUUAAUUGAUUGUCUUGGGUCCGGAUAAUUAGUUAAUUUGAUAAUCUAUUGUCAAUUGGGACGUUAAAUCCGUAAUUGUUUAAUUGUCUCAAAAUAGUGAUAACUGGCAUGAGUGGGUUUGUGUCAGAGGAAUAUGCGGGCUAAUCUGAAAUAACCCUGGUAAUGCGUUAUUUGGUUAGAAUAGGGCUCAUCUAAUACGUAAGGCAAUUGGAGAAUUAAAUUCUAUGGGCGUACCUAGGAUUAUUUCUCAAUUAGAGUAGUGAUUAACGGGCGUACCUUAAUCACCGACACAGUAAGGAGGGGUUGACUGUCAUCGCUUAUUUGGUAGUUAUAACCUAUUUAUUGAUAAAUAAUUGAAAGUGCCUUUGUUUCGAUGAUCAAUUAGGUGAACCAUUGCUGAAGUUAUUCCUUGGCUAGAUCUUUGAUUAAUUUUACCUUGAUUUUAGUAAAUUGCCAUUUGACUUUUAGUUGCCUAUUUUAUUUUAUUUUUAAUUGUCUUCUUGUUCUAAUUGUUUUGGAUCAUUAAUUAUUGUUACGUUAAGUUUAGUGAAUUGCCGUUUAAUUUCUAGUUAGUAUUUAUUUUUAUUUACUUAUUGGAAUUUAUUUGAUUGUCGUCGUUCCUACAAAAUUACCCCCUUGUGUUACCUUGGAUUUCUUAAGAAAUAAAUAUACCCAAUUCCUGUGGAUACGACCCUACUUGUCCUGUCUACAAAUUCAUAAUUAUUUGUGAGAAAAAAUAACCAUCCCAUUCGGGUAUAUCCGAUCAAGCAAACUCUUCGGGAACAGGGUGAAUCAAAUAACCCAUUGCACACCUAGAGUCCCUGCUCCAGUACUUGAAAUUGGAUUUUGGUCAUUUUAACUGGCAAUUAGGUUUAAUUUUACUAUUGUACAGGCCUCGACGCUCUGUCAAUUUUUGGCGCCGUUGCCGGGGACUGGCGUUAUUAUUUGUUUCUUUUAAAUUCAUUCUUGUUUUAAUUUUCUAGUGCUUUUCUAGUGUAUGCCUCGGUCUUCUCGUACAGGUGAUUUGAUUUUUGACCCUGAAGUAGAGAAGACUGCGCAUAGAACGAGAAAGAAAACCAGACAGUUCAAAAAGGAGCACUCCAGUGCUGCAUCUCAGAGACCUGAGCCAGAAGUUGAACCAAUAGAUUUGUUUGAUGACACUUCAAGUGACUCUGACUAGGAGAAAGGAACCAUGGCUAAUGCACGAAUAUUAAGGGAGUUGGCUGCUCCUAACUUAAAUCAGCAGCCUUUGUGCAUUACUUUCCUAAAUUUAGAUGAUAGCAUUCCAUUUGAAUUAAAAUCUGGCCUAAUUCAUCUUUUACCUUCCUUUCAUGGUUUACCAGGUGAGGAGCCGUAUAAGCAUCUGCAGGAGUUUGAUGUUGUGUGCAACAGUAUGAAACACCCGGAAAUCACAGAAGAGCAAAUAAAAAUGAGGGCAUUCCCCUUUUCCUUGAAGGAUUCUGCAAAGGACUGGCUGUACUACCUGCCACCAGGUAGCAUUACCACGUGGGACUAAUUAAAGAAAAAUUUUUUGGAUAAAUAUUUUCCUGCGUCCAGGACUGCAAGUCUAAGGAAAGAAAUUUGCGGGAUCAAGCAGCACCCAGGGGAGUCACUCUAUGAGUAUUGGGAGCGAUUCAAGAAGUUGUGCAACAAAUGCCCUCAGCACCAGAUAAGUGAGCAGUUGCUCAUACAGUAUUUUUAUGAGGGCUUCUUUUCAGAGAUAGGAGCAUAAUUGAUGCUGCAAGUGGAGGGGCACUGGUGAACAAAACCCCUCGGAAAGCACGGGCGUUAAUAAAGGGGAUGGCAGAGAAUUCGCAGCAAUUUGGUACGAGGGAGGAUGCUCCGAUACGCAAAGUGAACGAGGUAGAGACAUUCUCUAUCCAGUAGCAGUUGACUGAAUUGACUUCUUUUGUUAGACAACUGGCUAUAGGAAAUGCAUAUCAGGUCAAGGUGUGCGGGUUUUGCACUGGUAUGGGUCAUUCUACAGACAUGUGCCCAAUGAUUUACGAAGAAAGUGCAGAGCAAGUGAACAUGGCUGGUCACGCGUCCGCGCCAAGAAGGCCCUAUGACCCCUAUUCAAGUACCUACAACCCUGGUUGGAGGGACCACCCUAACCUCAGUUAUGGAGGGAACAGGCAGACUAACUUCGUGCCAAAUAAAUAACAAGGGUACCAGCAGCAGAACCAACCUCGACCAGCUCCGCCCCCAAGCUCUGGUCCAUUUUUGGAGGAAAUGAUGAAACAACUGAUGGCAACCAUUACGCAAAAUCAGCAAAGGACGGACUCUGAAAUGCAGGAUAUAAGGAAUCAAAUGAGUCAAAUGGCCACAAAAAUCAACCGUUUGGACUCCCAAGUAAAUGGAAGAUUGCCAUCCCAACCUGAACUGAACCUGAAGAACGUAAGUGCAAUGACUUUAACGAGUGGGAAGGAAAUUCAGGGGCCCGAACUUGUGACUCCAAAGGAUAAGGACGAAGAGAAGAUUGAGAAAGAACUUCAAGCAGAGAAUACAAGUACCAAAAAUCCAGUGGUACUCCCUGAUCCGAUCAUAGACGUUAAAACUAAUCCCACUCCAUUUCCUUGCAAGUUGGAGAAAUCGAAGAAACAGGACAAUGAGAAAGAGAUCUUGGAGGUGUUCUGCAAGGUAGAGAUCAAUAUUCCCUUACUAGACACCAUCAAGCAAGUGCCGAAGUAUGCAAAAUUUCUGAGGGAUCUAUGUGUCAAUCGAAAGAGGCUGAGGGAAGAUGAAAGAGUUAUUGUUGGGGAGAAUGUGUCAGCAGUUCUCCAAAGAAAACUCCCACCAAAGUAUGGGGAUCCAGGUAGAUUUACUGUCCCAUAUAAGAUAGGUAAUACUCUGAUUAGGAAUACCCUGCUGGAUUUAGGAGUAUCGAUCAACGUAAUGCCUAAAUCUAUGUAUGCUUUUUUGAACCUCGGUCCAUUAAAAAAAUCGAGAUAAUAAUUCAAUUAGCUGACCGAACAAAUGCAUACCCUGAUGGGUUGGUAGAGGAUGUGCUGGUUAAAGUUAAUGAAUUGAUAUUCCCGGCUGACUUUUAUGUACUUGACAUGGAUGAUGAUCAUUCCCCUAACCCCUCACCUUUGCUACUAGGUAGACACUUUUUGAGCACAACACAGACAAAAAUUGACGUUAAUAAGGGUACAUUGUCCAUGAAAUUUGAUGAAGAACUAGUCCACUUUAAUAUUUUCGAUACAAUGGAACAUCCUGUUAACUCUCACCCUGUGUUUGCUAUUCAUGCUAUUAAUCCCUCUGUGCAAGAAUUUUCUGAAUUUGCUUGUAGGGAUAAAUUCAAAUUUAUUGAGAACAAGUAUAAGGGGAUGAAAGUAUUGUAUGAGGUGAAAAGGAGUAGAAAAUUAAGAAAGAAAGCUGCACUCAAAGGCUAUUUGGAUCCUGGAGGAGGGCCACCGAUUUCCAGGAAAAUUGAGUUACACCCAAAUUGAAGAGUGGUGUUCAAUGUCUAGCCAAACACAUUAAAAAAAGGCGCUCAUUGGGAGGUAACCCAAUUGUUUCUUUUAAUUGUUUGUUUGAUUUCGUGUGAUAGUUUAAAUAUGUUUUCCUUGAAUUUGACUGAUUUCGGGUUUCAAUUUUCGUUUUUGAUGAUUUGUAGGUGUCCUUCUAUCAUGACAUGCCCGCGUCAUGACGUAUGGAGAGCUCACGGUCAGAAUCGUCAGAAGGGAUUCCUGCCCUCAUGACGCGCCCGCGUCAUAACGUAUAGAAAGCUCACGAUCAGAAUCGUCAGAAAGGGUUUCAGUCCUCAUGACGUGCCCGCGUCAAGUCCCAUGAAGAGCUCAUGAUCAGAGAGCUCUCUUGCUCUCAUGACGUGCCCGCGUCAAGUAACCUGAAAAGCUCUUCACUCCGUGCCUUCGUCACAUGCCCACGUCACAUUCGCGGGAAAGGUAAGUAUUCAAAAAAAAACUCAAGAACGAUUAUUGAUUUCCUGUUAAUCUCUACUUUUGAAUUCCAAAAAUAAAUUUUGUUAAUAAUUAAAAAAAAAGAUGAUAUAUGUAAAAAAAAUUCCAAAAAAAAAAAUUUUCAAGUAAGUAACAAGGAGAAAAAAAAAAGGGGAGUCUUUCCGUGAAAAAAAAAAAAAUUUCUAAAAUGAAAAAAAAAACGAAAAAGCAAAAAAAAAAAAAAGCAGAAAUACUAUUUUCUUUUUCUUUUUCUUUCUUCCCUAUUCUUUCUUUUCUUUCCUUUUCUUUUUUCUUCUUUCGAAUUUGUGGUUCAAGGCAUGUUGUGGAGAGCACAAGGCAUAUUUUCCUCAAUUUGAACCAUACUUCAGGAAUUAAAAUAAUUUUUUCUUUUUUUAUUUUUCUUUCAAUUUAUCUAAUUUUUAAUAUUCAUUUUUAAGAUUUAAAAUAAUUAUUGAUUCAAAACUAUUAUGGAAGCAAAUAUAUGGUUUUUAUAAAAUAAUAAACAAAAACUUUUUUCUAUUUUUUUGGAUUGCUUCAAGGUUAAUAAAAUAAAAAUAUGUUCUUUUUUUAAUGCAGCAUGGCCUCAAUAAGGGCAUUUUCGGUAUUAAGGGGAUUUUUGUUAAAUGUUUAAUCAUUCAAAGGGUGAGACCGUUAUUUGGACAAAUUACAGGGAUUAAUUGGUAAUAUGGUCAAAUCUCAGGGGAGGUAAAUGUAAUUAACCCUAUCUUUAGUUAUGAUAAUCCGCUUGCGAUCAUUACUGAUUUCACAAUCACUGUCUUUGGAUACCAUUCUAUGAAACAUUUCCAGUUUUUUUUUUUUUUCUACUUGUAAUUGAAGAUAAUUUCCACAGAACUAGUCAAUAAUAAUCCACCAUCAACUGUGAGAAAGCAAAACACCUACAAAUCAAUUGCAAGUGCGAAGGCUCUGAUUUGGUGCUGAAUUGGGCACUUAUUCGUGCCAAUUCAAUCCUAAAUUUUCCUUCCCCAUUCUUCAACCUUUCAAUAUCCAGUUACAAGAAGAACAAAAAAUAGUGAACAACCAUCAAUUCAGUUUUGGCAUUUUUCCAACAUGCUUGCUUGAUUGCUAUGACCGUAGGGCAGUUUCCUUUUUCCGUUAAUCUAAUUCCGUGAUGGGUCAAUAGAAAAUUCAUCCGAAUUCAGUCUUUCUCACGUAAGAAGAAUAUAUGAUUACAAAUGACCAAAUAAAUUAAAGAGGGACAAAUUCAAGAAGACCAAUAAUAUAAAAAUUCCAAACAUCCAUAGGUUGCACACAAUAAUUCUCACAAAUUUUAAGUUAUAAAAAAAGAAAUUUUGCAAAGGAGGGCCCUACUUCGAUGCUGGCACCGUGACGAUGAACUGCCAGAUUGGGGUCUCUUUCAUGUUUUGGUUUAUCCUUUUUAGGGUUGUUAAAAAUUAAAUUUGGGGAGAUAAGGUUGACGAUUGAUGAAAUCUGAUGAAGAAAGUUGUUUUUUCUAUGGCAUAUUGAAGAAUGGUGGUAUAUUCGAUCAAUGGUAUCCAAUAGUCUUGAAAUAGAAACACAAUUUUUUUUUUAUUUAAAAGAGACUUUUGUUUGUUUUUUAAAUUGAUAUGCAUCACAAAGUGUAUCCUUUUUAAGUUAAUUUUGAGCAAACCUCUAAUGAGUUCCUUUGUGAAAAUUUCAUUUAAUAAAUCCAUAUUGAAAUGACAAAGCCUUCUAUUCCGCAGUUAAGGAUCAUCAUUUGUAACCUUAAGACACUAAUCUUACUAUCAUCAAUUUUUCAAGAUAUAUCACAUAAAUAUCAUUGUAUCUUUUGCCUUUGAAUACAACAUUAAAAUUAGUAUCAAGAAUCAAAUAUUCAUGCCUUUUAAACAAUACAUAAAGAUAUCUAUCACAUAAUUGAUUAACACUGAACGAAUUAUAGCUUAAGUUAUGAACCAAAACAAUAUUUUGAAUGAAAGUGUCACCGUUUUUGUCAAUAUCUCCUAUUCAAAUGGUUUUAACCUUCAUGUCAUCUCUAAAGGUGAUCUUUUCACUACUUUCUAGCUUGAACUUGAUGAAUAGAGGUGGAAUACCAGUCAUGUGCCUUAAACACCUAUUAUCAAUGAACCACUUUAAUCCUUUAGUGGUGUUCUUCAAGUAUACCUAUAUAUAAAAAUCAAGAAAUGAUAUUUGGUACCUUUUUAUUAUUUGAUCCGUAAUUGUUAGUACAAGAUUUAAAUAUCCACAUGCUAUUAGGAAUACUAAUUUCUUAUCCAAGUGGUUUCUUUCCCAACAAAUCUAGUGAAUUAUAAAUAAGACAUUAUUUAGGAUGUUUUCUAGAGAGAGAGAGUGUAGAAAAAUUUGUUAGGUUUUCUACAAUGGUUUUACUUUUUUUUACGAUUUGAGAUUUCAAUAAUAUUGUGAGUUGAUUAUUUUCUUCUCUCCUACACUUUUUUUGAACGUCUAUUUUAUCCCUUCAAUCCUAUAACCCUACACACAUUGGUUAUUAUUAAAACCCUAAAAUUUAGGUUCCACAGAUCUCAGAUGGUAGAGGAUUCCAAUGACUAGAGAAAACUAGGAGUUCUGUACGGAACGGAAUAUUUCAAUGAACAUCUUUUUUUAGGUGUUAAUGGAGUUUAUUAUAUGGCAAAUUACACUUUACCCUGUGAUUUAGUGUUUUUCUACAUAACCCCCCUAUAGUUUCAAAAGUUAUACAUAACUCCCUCAUGAUUUGGAUUAAAGUGUCAAAGUGACGGAAAUGAGUAUUCAUAACGGAGUCAUUUAAAAUGUCAAAAAUAUCCUUAUGUAAAAUUGAAAAUUAUUUGUUAACCAAAGGGGGUUAUGUGUAUAUUUUGAAAAUCAUAAGGGGGUUAUAUGAUAAAGUAUUAAACUAUAAGUGAGUUAUAUAGUAAACUAUAAAAUCAUACGGGGUUAGUGUAUCAUGUAUUUAUAAAGGUAACUUUGACGUUUUUAAAGAUUCUGUUACGAAUGAUAAUUUCCGUUACUUUGACACUUUAAUUUAAAUUGUGAGGAGGUUAUAUAUAAUUUUUGAAACUAUAGAGAGAUUAUGUGAAAAAUCGCUAAAUGAUAGGAGAGUAAAGUGUAAUUUGCCCUUUAUUAUAUAGUUAGUGUGUUUUGGUAACUCUUUAGUGAUUUGACAAUGCAUGUGUUGGGUUUAGUGGUCGUUUUGUCCUCUGCUACUUUCGGGUGAAUUCUUGUUUUUUCAAUAAUAUCGUGUUUUAUCAAACAACAUCGAAUCAACAAUAGCUAUAAAUAUCUUGACUGAUCAUGCCGACCGUACUACUAUCAUCUUUCUGUCUGUAUCAUAGAGAGUGUUUGGAUAGAAUAUUAUUUGAAAUGUUAUUGAAAAUAAUUAAUGUAACACUUUUUGUAAUAUAAUGUAUGUGAGAUAAAAAUAUAAUUAAAAAUAUAAAAAAUAGAUUGAGAAAUAUGUUUAUGAUACAAAUAAAAUAUUAUUUAACAAAAUUGAGUUAUCACGGCUCAAGUGGGGGCUAUUGCCCCUACUUAAGUUUUAAAAAAAAAAAACUCUAUAAACAAAUUUAGACACUCUCUAACUCAAAAUCGACAUUUCUGUCUUAUUAAAAUAGAUAAAUAGACAGGUAUAGUGGCCUUCUCCUCAUUUUCUUCUUAUCUUCUAGUAGCGACAUCCAUGGACCAGAUUGAAAAUAUAAUGCUGUUUUUAUGCGUUUUGCCGUUUACAUGAGCUUUGAUACCAAAAUGACAAAACACAUAGGCCCACCAUUGGCUCCUUUUCAAGUAUUCCUUAAAAACUUUCGAAUUAUCAUCGCUAAAUGAACAGGGCAAAGUUGGGAUAUUGAGCAGAUUUCCUUCUUUUUUUCUAACAUUUUCUUGACGAAAGCAGAUUUCCUUCUUCAAUGCUUUUUCUUUUUAGCUGAUAAGACGUUUAUGUUGAAAAAUUGCUAUUGCUACUGAUCGAGAUGCGGCGCGACAAAUAGGUUGGGAAGGAGGUAAUAAUAAUUAGUACGUGCUCCAAUGCAAACACAUGUGAGUAGACACGGAAAUAACUAUUUUAUUGAGUCUCAAAUAUUCAGCGAAUUUCUAGAAAUAAUACUAAAUUUAGAAAAUUUUCUCCACUUAGAGUUGCCGUAUUUUUCAAAUGUAGCAACAACAAAACAGUAUUUUUAUUUUGAAUUAUUUUUUGGUGUCACAAAUGCGGCGACAAUUAAAGAGUAUUUUUUUUGAAUUAUUUUUUGGUGUCAGAAUGACUAAAAUUUUUUAUUUUUUUAUACAUCUUCGCGGGCGACUGUGAAAAUGACCAUUUGGAUGCGGCGACACCAAGAUGUGAGAAGUCUUAACCGUCAAGUUUCUUUAUAUUAGAUCUAAAUUUUAUCAGAUUUGUUGUUGAAGCUGAGAUUUCUUAGAUCUAUCUCGUCGGAUCUCACUUUAACAUUAGGCUUAAAUCACUUCAUUAGCAUAUCUCGGAGGAAGCAAACGGUACAUUUGAAAGUAUUUUUGAGACUAUAAGUGCUUUAUUAUUCGAUAUUUUUCGAGUUCUGCAGUACAAUUAUCUAGUAUAUAUUUGAAAGUAUAUUUUGUUGGUUUUUCAAAACUGUAAUAUCUAGUAUUUGUUCUUCGAAUAUGUUGCCACUAGUACGGAUUUGAUAAAAUGAUGAUGAUUUUAUCCCCAAAAAAAAGACUAUAGAAUUAAGCCCGUACAAAUGCUUGGGCGGGGGGGGGGGGUUGUGUAGGCAGUGGGUAGUAAAAGGUUGUGGACAAAAUUGAAGAAAACAAAUUAGUAGGGCACAACGUGACAAAGUUUUUCAUAAAGUAUAAGACCAUCAACGAACAGGUAUUGUGAAGUGAAAUGAAAGAGACCUUGAAAACUUAUCCUCCUUAAAAAAAAAAAAAAAAAAAAAAAAUUAUCUUCACAAAAAUUUCAAGGUCAUCCAGCCUGCAACAUUCAUGUUUGCAUUGAAGAUUGUUCAUGUGUCAAUCACGAGUCUUUGUCUAUAUCUCCUUGUGCCAUGAGACUAUAUAGGGCCAGUUUGGAACCUGAGUUUUUUGGAAGUUUGUUUAAAAUUUUACUGUAGUGCACUGUAGAAAUUUUUGAAAAAUUUUUGUAAAAGUUUUUGCAAGGUGAAAAACUUUUUUUUCUUUCAUUUUCUCUUUCUAUUUCUAUUUCUAUUUCUUUCUUUCCUUUUUCUUUUCUUUCCUCCCUUCUUCUUCUUCUUCUUCUUUUUCCUUCCCCCUCCCCCUUCCCCGUUACCUCUGUCUCCCACCUCCAGCACCUCCGCCAGCACCACCUCUUUUUUUUUUUUUUUGCUUUUCUCCUCCCCCCCCUCCCUUUCCCUCUCCCUCGCUCUCUCCCGCCACCCCUAAACUUUUUCACCAUCCCUUUCCUCUCCCCUCUGCUCGCCACCCCCUCUACCCACCAUCCCUUUCCUCCCUCUCCCUUGCUACCCCUCUGCCCCCCACCCCCUAGGCCCGCCACCCCUCCCUCUCCCUCCCCCGCCAUCCUUCUCUGCCCACCAAUGUCACCGCCUGCAUCAUCUCCAUCCGGAAGCCCACGUGAGUUCUGCAGUUCCGACCAUUGUAGAGGUUCCAUCCGUGGGUGCCAGUGUUCCUUCCACUUUCUAUGUCUUCCUCUUCCAACGACAACAGCCGUGUGGUGCAGGGCGGAGCGUGGUGGAGGGGAUGGAAGUGCAAUUGCCGAAGUUCUGACUCGGAUUGCAGCGCCCAGGAAAUGGAGAAUCGCUCAACAAGCUUCUCGUUGCUCGCGCAAUGAUACUUACUCCGGCGAAUUGCUUGGUCGACUCCGGACAACUUUCUGUGCUUUGAAAGAAAAACCGGGAAGAGUUUUGUGUGCUUUUUGUGAAUUGAAAGGGAAAAAACCAGCUUGGACGACGUUGUCUUGUUAAAAUGUUUCAGAAAGGGACGAAAGUUUUGAGAAAAGUUUUUGGGGUUCCUGUAGCAUAAGUUGUUAAAAAACUAGUAUAAUACAAACUUGCUCAAAAACUAGGCUUCCAAACAGGCCCUAUCAUGUAGAUAUUGUAAAUUAAUAUGGUUCUUUUUCUUUUUUCAGUAAUCUAUCCCUAUCAAAAACUUAGAAUGUCCAUUCUCUAAUUUAUAAAAUUAUAAAACUAUAUACUAUUUACUUUUCUCAUAUUGUACUUUACCACCACGCACCAUCAAUUAGAGUAAUCCUCAGAUUUAUUGGACAUUGAUUGUUAAGUUGAGCAUGAUAUCAACUAUUUUUACUAUAUUUGUAUUAUAUUUUGUAUUUUAAAUUUUAUAUAGUUGUUUACUUUAACUCUUUUGUACGAAUAUUUGUUAAGAAAAAAAUUUCAAAGACAAAAAAAAAAAAAGCUGAUGCAAGCAAAAGUAAACAACCAGACAUUGCAUAUCCUUCAAUUUGAUUUAUUUUAGCGUAUUUGACCAAAAUUAUUACAAAGGGCUUAAUCCAACCAAAUGUCUCGAGUAGCUCACUAACUAGUUUUCUUGAUUUAAUGCACUUAGUCACACCACGUCUCACUCUCAUUAUAAUUAACAAUGAGAAGGGAUCCUCUUGAAAACAUCAGAUGCAGAAGAAAGCCACUUGUUAUAGACCCAUACCUUGGUCCGUAUCCAACGUCAAAUAUAUUUGUUUGGAUAGUAAACUUAUUCCAAAUAAUAUUUCGCUUGCAUCAUAAACACAUUUUUCAACCCAUCUUUUUAUAUUUCCAAUCACCUUUUUAUUUCGCAUACAUCACGUCACAAAAAGUACUACAGUAAUUAUUCCAAAUAAUAUUUCAAAUAAUACUCUAUCCAAGCAAGAACUAGGAACAAUCCAUAUGUUUACGAAAGCAGUUCUAGCAAUUGGUCAGAUCUAAUGGCCUGUAACUCACAUCGUAAUAUUUUAUAUUUUAUAAUUCUGUUAAAUUUAAUGAUUUUUCAAAUUAGAUAUAUCUUUCAUAUGUUUUAUAUAUUUUCUGCCAUUACUGGUCUUUUUUCGUCAAACAAAUCGUGAUAGAUGAUUUUCAAUUAGUUUAUUAAUAAUAUUGACUCCUAUUUUAUCAAAAAAAAAAAAAAAGAACUAGGAACAAUCGAAACAAUCACUAGGCACAGGCACAUACCAGAAGGAUGUUGCUUGAGCUUAUCAAUAUGAACCCACGCAAUCAGCAGACUGCCUUUUGCCGAUGCCGCACUAAGGCUUCUUAAGUUUAUUUUAUCAACUCAACAAUCCAAUAUCCAAUGACUUUGGAAAAACUGUGUGGAAAUUUAUCCUCAAACGAGAUCAAGAUCUAUGAAGUUUCACGAAACCGUGCUCAUAGGACUAGGGUCUUGUUUGGUAGAUAAGUUUUUUGUCAAAUUUAUCUGUUACAAGUUUUUUAAAAACUUUAACUACAAUAAUCUCAAAAAACUUCUCAAAGUUUUUAAACUAUACACAUUAAAAUAUUAAAAAAAACACACUUUAAAAUUUUUUUUAAAAACUUCUACAGUAAGUUAUAGUAAAAUUUUAAACAAACACCCAAAAAAUUCACUUGCCAAACGUUGUCAUUACACUCUUAUAUGUCUUCUCAUCUUUAAUUACUGAUGUCACAGUCACUAUCUUAGGAUGCCAUUCUAUGAAACACGUAGUUUAAGCAUUUUUGCCAACAUGCCAUGACCAUAAGGCAGUUUCAUUUUUUCCUUUAAUCAAGCUUGAUAAUGAGUCAAUACAAAAUUCUCAUCCGAAUUCAGUCUCCCUCACGUAAAAAGAUUAUAUGAUUACAAAACUGCAUACAAAUGACCCAAAAAAAAAAAUUUAAGAGGGACUGAUUCAAGAAGUCUAAGAAAUAAAAUAUCCAUACAUCCAUACCUUGGGCUCUUUUUAAAAAUUUUUUUUUAUUAUGCUGUUUUGGUUUAUCCUCUUUUGGGGGUUUCAAAAUUAAAUUUGGGGAGAUAAGGUUGAUGAUGUGAUGAAAUCUGACGAAAAAAUGGUUGUUCGAAGGACGGUAAAAUUAAUUGAAGAGCGGAUGAAUUGAUACUGUAGCUGCAGAAGGUAAAAUUUAAUUACCUCAAUUUGUUCCUUAUUACUCAUUUGCAUGUCUCUCACUUUAGGAUAACCUGCCAUUAUUUGGCCUCUGUGGAUUUGAUGAUCAUCAUUUUAGGAUUUGAUGAUCUCAUUUUAGUUCUGUACGGAAUGGAAUAUUUCAAUGAACAUAUUUUCUUAGGUGUUAAUGGAGUUUAUUAUAUAGUCAGUUUUGGAAACUCUUUAGUGAUUUGACAAUGCAUGUGUAUGGUUAGUUGUCGUUUUAUCAAUAAUAUCGUGUUUUUUCAAUAACAUCGAAUCGAUAAUAGCUAUAAAUAUCUUGACUGAUCAUGCCGACUGUACUAUUCUCAUUUUUCUUAUCAUAUGGAGUGUUUGGAUAGAAUAUUAUUUGAAAUAUUAUUUAAAAUAAUUAAUGUAGUAUUUUUUUAUAAUGUGAUAUAUAUGAAAUAAAAAAGUGAUUAAAAAUAUUAAAAAAUGAAUUGAAAAAUGUGUUUAUUUCUUUCAAAAAAAUUAUGUUUAUGAUACAAGCGAAAUAUUAUUUGAUAAAAUUGAGCUAUCAUGGCUGAGGUGGAGGCUAUUGCCCCUGCUUCAUUUUUUUUUAAAAAAAAACUCUAUAUAUUAUGUAUAUCAAGUAUUUUUGGUCCCACCAAAAAUGAUACAUUUGCGGUCGAUAUUAAUUGGGAGUAAAAGUGCAAACAAAUUUAGAGACUCUCUAACUCAAAAUCGACAUUUCUGGCCUUAUUAAAAUAGAUAAAUAGACUGAUAGAGUAGCCUUCUCCUUCUUUUCUCCUUAUUUUCUAUUCCCUCUGUCCCAUUCAUUUGGUUAUACUUUUCAUUUUGAAAUGUCCCAAAAUAAUUGUCAUGUUAGAAAAGUCAAAUCAACUUUUACACUCUCUUUUCAAUAUAAUCCUUUUUUUUAAUCAUACAUUCAAAUUUAAAAUUUGAAUUUGAGGGGGUAAAAUUGGAAAGAAAAGCACAAACAUCACAAUUAAACCACUAUUCUUAAAAAGUUGGAUUCCCCAAACAUAACCAAAUGAAUGGGACGGAGGGAGUAAUAGCGACAUCUACGGACUGGAUUGAAAAUAUAAUGCUGUUUUUAUUUUCUAUGUCACAAAAUGAUUGUCACUUGCUAAUAUUGACAAACCAUUUUUAUUCAAUUUUCGUCUUUCAACCAACCAUUAAGGUGAAAGAGGAAAGUGUAGAUUAAAGCUAUAAUUAUUGGUUUACAAAGUUGAAAAGUAAGUGGAAAAAUGACAAAACACAUAGGCCCACCAUUGGCUCCUUUUCAAGGAUUCCUAAAAAACUUUUGAAUUGUCAUCACUAAAUGAACAGGGCAAAGUUGGGAUAUUUUUCAGAUUUCCUUCUUCAAUGAUUUUUCUUUUUAGCUGAUAAGACUUUUAUGUUGACAAAUUGCUAUUACUACUGAUCGACAUGCGACGCGACUAAUAAAUUGGGAAGGAAGUAAUAAUAAUUAGUACGUACCAAAUGCAAACACUUGUGAGUAGACACGAAAAUUACUAUUUUAGUGUGUUUUAAAUAUUCGGCGAAUUUCUAGAAAUAAUGCUAAAUUUAGAAAAUAUCCCAUUUAUGGUAUUUCAUGAGAUUGUUUUCUUUACUUAGAGUCAUCUUUGACAAUAAAAUAGUAUUUUUAUUUUGAAUUAUUUUUUGGUGUCAGAAUGACUAAAAGUUUUAAUUUUUUUAUACAUCUUUGCGGGUGACUGUGAAAAUGACCAUUAGCCGCAUCCAAAAAGUGGAUGCGGCGACGCAAGAUGUCAGAAAUCUUAACCGUCAAGUUUUCUUAUUAUUUAUUUGGGAGCAAAUUAUCCCAGUGGCCACUAAACUUUUGCCAUCGUCGAGUUUUGGUCACUCAACUAUUAAAAGGCUGGUUUUGACCAUCAAACUGUAUAAAAGGUAGACUCGAACCCAUUCUGUUAGAUUUAGUCGUUAACUUCGCAGAGGUGUCCGUUUGCGCGAUUUCCAAUACAAAAGGUAGGGUCAAUUUAGAAAGUCGAAAAUAGAUCUUCUUGUUCUUCUUGUAUAAAGCUAAUAAAGAUUACUUACCCGAGAGAAACUACAAGAGAAGGAAAUGGAAGAAGCCCAACUUGGAUUAGAGGAAGCAGGACCAAGAUCAACGCCACCAAGAGCCGGGCCAGCAAGAUCCAUGCCACCUACAUCGUUGACACCCAUUUUGCCUACUUGUGUUUGUGGGAUGAAGACAGUAAUGAUAACUUCAUGGACUGUACAAAAUCCGGGAAGAAGAUUUGCCAAAUGCGCAUUGGGGGAGGUUUGUAACAUUUUUUUAGAUACUUAAUUUAUUAUUGUGUAAGAAAUAUAAUGAAUUUGUUUUUUUUUUAAGGAUGGCUGUGGCUAUUGGGGUUGGAUAGAUGAUGAAAUGUGCGCUCGAUCUACAAUGAUUAUACCGGGUCUACUCAGAAAGAUCAAUGGAAUGGAGGAAAAAAUGGUUGAAUUUGAAAAAGCUGCAAGAAAGUAGGAAGCAAAAGCUGUGAAAUUGGAGGGUAAAAUGAAGCCACUUCAAAUUAAAAUUGCCAAGUACAAAUCAGCCAAUAAGCGACUCAUUCGAUGCGCAGUGUUGCCUUGGCUAAUAGUUGUCUUAGCAAUGUUAGUUAUGAGAAUAGGUAAUUCUGGUGGCAUGCUACAAAUUUGUGGCAUCGUUGAAAAUCCUUGAAGAAUAGCUACUCUGUUGUAAUGGUAGCAUAUUGAAAGGGAAAGGGCAAAUGGCUUUAUAAAGCCCCUUUUGUACUCCUCUGUAUAAACAUUUUGAUGUAUAAAAGUUGUAUUGUUCACAUGAAUAAAUAGUUAUUAUUUGGUGUCAAAAAAGGUUUGAAACAACACAUUUCAGUUCUAUUAAUUUCAUCAAUAAAUGACAAAGACAUAAGAACUAAACAAAAGUGCUGCAUUAACAUAGAACAAUCUGUGUAGAUUGGACAAAAUAAAUUGUUUGUACAUAUGGACCAUGUUCGUAAUAGGUCAGUAUAUCAAAUCCAAAACAAACUUCAUACAAAAAGACAAAAUGUAGUUGAAUUAUGUCCCAAUCUAGCUAUAGCUUUCUUCCUCUUCAAUUUGAUCCUCUUUUGACUCUUGGUUGUCCUCUGGUAGUUGUUGCUGAAGUUCCUCCUCUUCUAAUACCAGUUCUACUCCAUUUUCCUCUCCAAUUUCCAACAGUGAAAGGAGGUUCUUUACUUAAAUAUGCAUAAUUGACAUUGAUCCGCCCCUUUUCUGAAUCUGUUAACUUUCGUUUUCCUGCUUUCCUUUGUUGAUGAGCCCCUUGGCUCUGAGACUGUUGUUGGUUUUGUACAACUUCUUCCUGCUGUCGAUGCUGUGCAUGUUCACUUUCCUCAACAGCAGAUUGUGAUUGCUGUUCUUGUUGGUUCUGCUGAUACUCUUGAUCCUGCUGCUGCUGUUGAUUCUGUUGCUAUUGCUGAUCCUGCUGCUGUUGCUGCUGCUGAUGUUGAUUUUGUUGCUGCUGCUGCUGAUUUUGCUGCUGCUGAUAUUGAUCCUGCUGCUGGUGUUGCUGGUGCUGUUGUUGGGUCUGCUGCUGCCUCUGGUGCUGCUGUUGGGCCUGAUGAUGCUGCAUCUGAUGCUGGUGUUGGGUCUGAUGUUGCCUCUGGUGCUAGUGUUGGGUCUGAUGUUGCCUCUGGUGCUGGUGUUGGGUCUGUUCAUGCUGACUCUGGUGCUGGUGUUGGUUCUGCUGUUGCUGCUGCAUAUUCUUAGAACCACGCUGCUGCUGUUGGUUCUGCUCCUGCUCCUCGCUAUCCUGAUUCUGCUGUUGUUGAUUGUCUUGUUGCUGCACCUUGCAACCAGCUGCAUUAUGGCCGGCAACACCACAUUUUCUGCAAUGGUUGACUAUUCUUCUCCGCAACCUGUUUCCAGUCUUUUGAGUUUCAGUAGGAUCUCUUCUCCUGGCCUUCUUAGGUCUGCCAGGUUGCACUAUCCUUUCUGGUGGAUCAAGAUCUACCCCAUCAGCUUCAGGCCACAUUACUUGUCCAUUGAUAGGAUACAAAACAUUUUUGUAAAUUUUUUGAAACAGAUCUCUGUUGUAGCAGUCAUACACCUCUUUAUAGGGGUCGCCAUUAUUUCUGUGAAUUGCUGCAAUAGCAUGACAGCAAGGAAUACUUGAUAGAUCCCACAGUUUGCAUGUGCAGGAUUUUUUCUUUAAAUAAACAGCAAACUGGGCCCCCCUUGGUCCCCUAACCUGGUAUCCAUCCACAGCAUUCCAAAUGGUCCUCCAUUGUCUUGAUUCUAUCACCCUAUCAUCAAUUAUUUUUUUAAUUAGUGGGCCAAUGGACAAUUCAAAUUUCUCCAUUGCAGUUGUCCUUCUCUGUAUCCUCUCCAUCAGAAAUAUCCUAAUGGACUCUAACAUUGUGAUAAUUGACUGCUGCCUAGCUUCAAGUAUAUGACCAUUAAAACUUUCACACAAAUUAUUAACCAACAUAUCGCAUCGAGUAUGUUCUUAAAAAAAAGUCUUACACCAAUGACUGGGAUGUGGUGCUUUCUUCACCCAUUCAUAUGCUUCCUUGUCAAAUUUUUCCAGAUCUGCUGCUGCUUUCUUGAAUAGUCCCUCAGUAGUACUUGCUGCAAUGUUCCACAGUUUUGUCUUCAGGGCAAGUCCACGAUGUUUCUUCUUGAAGUUGUUAUAUAGGUACUGCACACAGUAUCUGUGCUCACUGUUUGGUAGUACCUCAGAUAAUGCUCGGUCAAGACCCUAUAAAUUAUUACAAACAAAAGGCAUUAGUAAAUUGAAACAGAUCCGUGUACAGUGCAUAUACAAAGGGAAGGAGUUAAUACCUUCUGCUGGUCAGAAACAAAGGUGUAGCUGUACCCAUUUUCAAUCUGCAAGUCAUUCUUCAGCAGCUCAAAAAACCAUUUCCACUGUUCAGUUGCUUCCCUCUCAACCACUGCCCAAGCAAUGGGCCACCAUCCAUUGUUGGGAUCUACUCCAAUAGCAGUCAACAGAUGUCCCCGAUAUUCAGCCUUUAUGUGGCAUCCAUCAACCCCAAUAAUGGGCCUACAACCGUCAAGAAAGCCUUGUUUUAAUGGUCCCAAACAGCAAUAAAGUCUCAUGAAUUUUGGGUUGCAUCCAGGUUGUCUGAAGGGAGUAAACAUAACUUCCAUUGUGGUAUUUGGGUGUGUCCUCUUAAUUUCUGCACAAUAUCUCCAUAUGUCCUUAUAUUGCUACUCUGCAUUCCCUUGAAUCUCCUUUUUAGCAAUUGUCCUUGCAUUGUAUGCCACCCAUUUUGAAAUUUUCGCUUUGAAGUCCUCAUCAACUAUUUGUUUUAAUAAUCUUGGAGGCAUUUCAACAUUACAUCUAAAUCUCUCCAUGUACUUGUUUGCAAGCCACUUAGCAGAAAUAUUCUUGUUCUUCCAUACAUGACUGCAGUUUGUGUGCUCAUUAUUCAUGCUCUUGACAACCAAAUCAGCUAUUCCAAGUUCCCUCUCAACUGAAGCAUAAACAAACCAUUGGCAAGGAGGUUUGCAUUUUGCUCUAAACCUUUUUUUUCAUUUGUGUAUGGCUUUACUGGUUUUCCUUUCAUGAUGGAAUAUGUUCUAACAGCUAAUCUUAGCUGUUCAGCUGACUCAAACUUCAUUCCUAUGUGAAACUCAAAAUUAGGGUCUUUUAGAUCUCUCUCCGGAUUGAAAUCAACAUACCUAUUCCUCCAGUCAUCAUCAUUCUCUUCAUCUGAGGAGCCAGCAUCACUAUGCAACUCAGUCACCACUGUGUCUUUAUUUAAUGCAUGGACAUCAUCUAAAUGAGGAGCUGCCUCUUCUCCUGAUGCUCUAUUGUUGUUUCUUCUCCUUCUAACUUGCUUCUUCCUCCGCGACUGUUGGUUUCCAGUUCCCACAUCCGUGGAUUGUUCUUCAUUUGUCUCAGGCUGCUGCUGAUGUUCAAAUUCAGUUUCAAGUCCUGAUUGUUGUGACCAUGGAUCCAUCCCAGCUGUUUGUUGUUGUCUGCCUAGCUCAUCUACAACUGAUUCUUGCUGUUGUGCAGCAUUAUUACAAUCAUCAUUAGAAUUGGGAUGUUGUGAAGAUCUAGGUUGCUCUGUAUUUGAAGAAUCCACACCAGAUUUUAGCCCCUCAACAAUCAAUUCUUCUAACAUUUCUUCAUCCCUACAGAAAUCCCUAUCAGCACUAAAGCGAUCACAGUCUCCAUCCGAAUCAGUAUCAGUCUCCACUUGGCCAUCUAUAUUUCCUCUAUCAUUUGCAUCCCCAUCAUCCCCAUUAUUCAAGGCAUUCUCUUUAGAAGAGUUCCCAACAUCUAUCUUGCCAAUUGAUCUUGUAAAUGGCACUAGUUCAAAUCCAGGUUCCCUAAUAACAUUUCCAUUUUCGUCAAGUUCCUCGAUGGUGACUGCGGCUUUUUUACUCAACUGUAGAUCAGAAGGAAGGGACUUUGUGGCCAUCAUCUUGAUUUCAUUCUUUGACUGGUGGUCACAGUACACCUCCAUGAUUUUAUGCUUAUAAGCCUAAUUGCAAAAACUGAUAAUGGCUUUAUCAGUAGAUAAUUCCUUCAACCCAUUUCGAAAAUCUUUUCCAGGCUCAACAUAGUAAUACACCAUACAUCCAUAAUGCCCUAAUUUAUCCACCAUGUAGUUUAUUUCAUGCACAGACAUUGUUUCCGCAUCACAUAAAUCAACAUAAUCUACAUGCCCAUCAAUGUAUCUGUAAUUUUGCCAAUUGAAUUUACCCCCAUGAUACAUUCGUAUGGUGAACAGAGAAGAACCUGGCACUGCAUGACAUGCGAUUAGUUAAAAAAAUUAAAAUUUUAGUCAAAACUAGUAAACCCAAAUUCAAUGAAUGAAUUAUUUAUUAACCCUUUUUUCCAGCAUUAAGAAUACUUUAAUCAGUGUACUUUGAAAUCUCUAUGCUUUAUUGCAAAAAGCCAAAACAACGAUAAAAUGUAGCCCAUACAUACAUGAAACACACAAUCUAUUCUGGGAUGUGGAUAACUAAACAAACUUAGGGAUUUUAAAACUUUACCGUAUGCAUCAGAUGGAUCAAAAUGCUGGCCCCUUGGUCUAAUCACCCACUUGGGCCACUCCAUCGUUCCACGAAAUGAAGAUCUUGUUUGUCAACCCGUUCUGCUGUCGCUCAAUCCCCCAAAAUUCUUCGUUGUUGCGUUUUUCUUUAAUUGUCAAUUGUUUGAUGUUUGGGUUUAGGCAAGGAAGAAGAAGAACAGAUGCAUGGGAGAGGAAGAAGAGGUGCAAGUGAUAUUUUCGACUUCCUAAAUUGACCCUACCUUUUGUAUUGGAAAUCGCGCGGACAGACACCUCUGCAAAGUUAACGACUAAAUUUAACAGAAUGGACUCGAGUCUACCUUUAAUACAGUUUGAUGGUCAAAACCAGCCUUUUAAUAGUUGAGUGACCAAAACUCGACGAUGGCAAAAGUUUAGUGGCCACUGGGAUAAUUUGCUCUUUAUUUGGUUCAUGGAUAUGUGAUCGGUAUUUGCCAAAUUUGUCAAACACAUGCCCAACUUUCUAUAGGGAAAUUUAGGAAUAAUUUUAGAAGCUUCCCCUAAAGUUUCUAAUAAUUUUACUAUCCUUUCCUAAAAUUUUAAAAAUAUUAUUAACCUCUUUUAAAACUAAUUUUCUUGUGACAAAUUACUAGGACCGUCAAUGACGCCGAACCAACUAGAGCUCAACCUAUUUGGCCCCAAAAAAGAUCCAUGAGUCUAAAGUAUAAUUGAAUCGGGCAAAGUUUUGAUCUAAAUAUUAGAUCCGGACAAAAUGUAAGUCAAAUUUGAGUCAUUCUAGGUUCAUGCCUGAUUAAAACUACACCCAUGUAUGAGUAUAAUUAUAUAUGUAAAAUAUAUAUGAUAAUAUAUAUAAUUUAUAAUUAUUUAUACUACAUAUACUACAUAUAAAUGCAGAGGAGGGUGUUUGGGGUAAACAAAAAUCUGUCACUUUAUAUACUUCAUGAACUACCCUUGAUGAUGAAGAAACUUUUGGUAUAAACAAAAAUUUAUCUUUCUUUGAUAGCUACCCACUACCAAUAUGAUUUUUACCAAAUAAUAUGUAUUUUUUCAUAUUCUAUUUUUCAACUUAUUUAGUAACUCUUAAUUUUAAUUAGCAACUACCAAUUAUGGUUCUGAAUAACUAUUAAAUAACUACUUUUUAUAACUUUUAUUAUUUUAAAAUUUUCACAUAUGUAUUUUCAAAAUAUAAAAUCAAUUUUCUUAAAAAUUAUUUUAAUAAAUAUACUCAAUAUAUUUUACAAAUACUUUUUCUAUUAGUUGCACACACAUUAGUAUGUGUCUUAAAUACUAGUACAUAUUGCGACAUAAAAUGUUAAUAAUUUAUAUGUAAAUUUGCAUUAAUUCAUAAUUAUAAAGUAUAUAUUAUAUAUAAUUAUGUAUUUAAUUAUAAGUUUGGGCCAAACCCGAUUUGAUUCUGAAACUCAUAUAAUAGUGUGAGUUGAGAUUAAACCUUUUUAAUAUAAACAAGAAUCCCAAAAGCUUGAAACCUGAAAAUUCAUAUAAUUUGUGAACUAAGUUUGGGCUUGCUAAAGUCCGAUUGACACCACUACAAAUUAUCCCAAUUCGUAAAAAAAUUAAUAACAAAAAAAUGUGCAUUCAUUUUUUUUGUUAUUAUUGGUUUGAAAUUAAUACUAAUAAAAAGCUAUUAUUCGUUUGAAAAGCUAUUCUUUUUUUUUUUAUUAUUCUUCUGUCCUGGAACUUGGAUAUUUGAGUAUAGUAACAUGUGUAUACUGGGGGAAGACCCUUCUGCUAUUUGUGGCAGCUGUUUCGGAAGAUGUAUCCCGAUGAUAAUUCUUCCCGAAGAAAAUGGCAUAGUGGAAUGAGGCCGUAGAGAAUUGUGCAUCGCCACAUCCGCUUUUGGAUGGGCAAAUGGUAAUUUUCACAAAGAUGCAUAUAAAAGAAUAAAAUAUCUUUAGUCAUUCUGACACCAGAAAAAAAAAUUUUCAAAACAAAAAUACUAUUUCGCCCAAAUGCGGCGAUUCUAAGUGCAGAAAACAAUCUCAUCGAACACUUUAAAUGAGAUAUUUUCUAAAUUUAGGAUUAUUUGUAGAAAUUUGUCCAAAUAUCCAUACAAAUUAAACUUGACUCUAACUCUAUGUCCUAAGCUCUAACAAUAUUUGAACUCUUAAAAGUUUUUGGUCCAAGGCUGCACUGCCAUGCUUGCGUCCAAGGCUGCACUGCCAUGCUUGCAUCAACAAAAUAUAUGUUUGGAAGCUCCAAAGUACCGUUUUGUAAAUUGAGUUCAUUGCAUUUAUCUCCCUAGAGGUUUAUCUAAAUCACAGCAAUAAAUCCAUAGUUUUUUUUAAGGGUAAAUAACCUUUUAUCUCUCUAUGAUUUGGUGCUUUACCACAUGACUCUCUUAUAGUUUAAAAAUCUAUAUAUACCACAUGACCUCCAUAUAGUUGAAAAACCUAUAUAUAAUCCUUUCGUGAUUUGGGUUAAAGUGAUACCAUUAGUUUUUCCAUUAAAACUAAUGGUCAAUAGUAAAAAGUCAAAAUCAAACUAAUAAAUUGACAAAUUCACUCUUUCACUACUUUUUUCGUUUUCUUUCUUUUUUUUUUUGUGGAAGCGAAGAGAUGAUUUGGAAACAUAUACUUUGGCCUAUAAAACCUUAAUUUUCUCCAAUUACAAAAGAGAUGAGAGGGAAAUAAAAAUAAAUGAAUAAGAAACAAAAAAGAUGGAAGGGAAAUAUAAAACAAAUAAAUAAGAAAGAAAAAAUACCAAAUCUUUUUUAUUACAAAUAUCAUUAUAGAUUUUUAAACCAAAUCUUUAAUGGUAUUUUCUAGUUCUUAUUUAUCUAUUUUGUAUUUCAAUUUCUUCCUUUUUAUGUUUGGAGGGGAAUAAAAAGAAGUAAUGAAAGGGUAAAUUUGUUAAGUUAUUAGUUUGAUUUUGACUUUUACUAUUAACCAUUUGUUUUAAUGGAAAAACAAACAAUUACAUAUUAACUCAAAUCAUGAGAGGGUUAUAUAUAGGUUUUUAAAUCAUAUGGGGGUUAUGUGGUAAAGUACAAAGGAUAAAAGUUAAUUUAUCCUUUUUCCAAAUCAGCCCAACAUUUUAAAUAGCCAAACAUUUGCCACUGCUCAAUUGCAUCAUUUGCAACAGAAGUUUUUGAAAUUAUCAAAAUACUGAUUUUCUAUCAUCCUUCUUCCAGCCAUUCUUUCAUCUUUCUAUAGAUUAAAGUUAGUGUAACCAAAACUCUAGUCAUAUGACAUCACUAAUAAUAGUAUAUUUCAUUGAGUGUAGUUUCUUGAACCUCCACUAUUAUAUUUUUUACAUUCCAAACUCUUUUCUAUUUCAACGUGCAAAUAAUCAAACUUCGUUUUCCAAAAAACAAAAGUAACUAUCAAUACUGAAUUCAAAUAUAAACAUAAAAUUUUAGGAUUUUUAUACAAAGACACACAUAUGAAAGUUAGAAGUAAAUAUCAAACAAAGACACUUUUCUUGGUUUAAGGAUAGGAAUUUAAUGUCAUGUUUUCUUAAAUUUAUUAUUACAUUUUUAAAAAUUUAAUGCUUUGUUAUGGAUAAAAAUCCGUAAAGUUUAGCUCAAUUUUAUUGUUCCUUACGAAAUUAGAUAUUUAAAUAAAAUAGAUAAUUUGUUGUAUGGAAACAAUGAAUUGGACCAGUGUGGUAGCGACUGAAAUAAGCCAUAUGCAGUUGAAAAAGAAAUUGUUUAUUUUCUUUUAAUCCAUAUUUAUUUUUUUGGAUAUAUUAAGGAGUUUUUUAAGAGUGGCUAUUCAAAGGGUUAAAACACAUUUUGGUCAAAUCUUAGACUCCUUUUUAUUUAGACAAACAUCAAGGGAGAUAAAUGCAGUUUCGCAGAGGGUAGUUUUGUCAUUUCACUACUUCUAAUUGGGUUUAGACACUGACUCAUAAGGGAUAAUUCGAAUUUAGUGAAACCGCAGAGUUUACUCAAUAAUACGGCCAAACCUUAGCGGAAGUACAUGCAUUAACCCUUUUUUAUUUAAAAAAAAAAGAGAUAGAGAGAAUUUUUAUUAAUCAGAUUGCUGAAAAUCGUUCAACAUUGGUUUCUUGACAAAAGCAAGAUGGCGGUAUAUUCUAUAAGGAAUCCACGAAAGCUGAAGAAUUUAGCUAUAGAAUUCAACAAAGCUACAGGAUUUUGGCAUAACAAGUCAAUUCAGGAGCUAUUGUUUUUGCCUCCAUUGUAUCCGAUUUACAUCCACAUCUGUAAUUCUAUAUAGUAUCAGACAAAACCUUAGGAAUAUCUUCUACUACUGGCCCCAUUGUAGAAAAAUCAUCAUCUUCACUAUUCAGCAAUUAAAUAACCGAUAAAGAGUCUCCUUCAAGUGUAAUAUUCGGAGUGAACAGAUUUUAUUGCUGAAUUAAUUGCCUCCUUUGUAGCAAUGGCUUCUUUCCUUCUUCGAUUCAACUGUCCCUUGGGAUAUCGUAGAGUUUAAUGCACCCUCAAAAUCAACAUUAAAUUGAUCCAUCGUACACUACCCCGCAAGAGGAACCUAGAGGUUCCACAUUGGCUUCUUUCAAAGCUACUAGGGAAUUAAUCACAAAGCGAACCAUUGAUAAAGGUUCUCCAUGCUUGCCAUCAAACAAAACCAAGUUCUGAUUGUUCCAAAUCUCAUCACAAAGAGUAGCAAACAGCUCCGAAUCCUCACUUGAAAAGAACUCACAAAAUUUCUGUAAUCCAAAGAUGAACACCAACUGAAUAGGUAUUUUCAUCAAUAUGACACCUUAAGUUUCAAACAAAUAGUGAUAUUAAAGGUUUUAGGAUUUAAAAAGCAAGGAAAUAGAAGGAUAAAAUGAGAUGUGAAUUAUAUAGACAAGUUACCUGUCAAACUAGGAAUUGUAAUUUUAAAAAAAAAACUACUUGAAAAAGCUAAUUAUUUAUUUUUCUUAUUCUUUUUCAUUUAAAAUGUGGGGUUUGUAUGAAAUUUUUGUGGCUCAAGUACUAUUACCACAUUUGAAUUGUAUUCAAUUGAUAAUAGUAAACAAAAUUAAUAUUCAAAUGUAAAGGACUAAAGUGAUAAAGUCACGAGUUAAAGGUCUAAAUAGAUAUUUUGAUAAAAGUUUGAGGACUUCUAAUAUACUGUAACUUAUCUGAAUGUAUAUCACUGGGAUUAGAGUUCUGUUUGCAUGUCAACAAAACAUUUUUUCAAAAUGAAAAUUAUGUGAGGCCUCUACAGUAGAAAAUCAAGCAAUUAAGAAUACUUACGUUACUACUUUGUAUCAUCUAUUUUUCGCCCCUUGAAUAAAGUUCUUUGCAUUCUUCUUGUUAUUGAAGAAGAUGAAACUAGUUAUCUAAAUCGAAAAAUAAAUUUUGGCUUCAAAUUUAAGGUACCAGUUAAACAUAGCAUAGAUUUUGUCAAAGAGUAACAUUAUACAAUAUCGUUAAAUUCAAACUGGAUAAAACUCGGUUAAACUACUAGGAUAGGGGUCAACUGAUCGGAUCAGUCAGAUGGUUCUGAAAAAAUCCACUGAAGUGAGUAUGAUAUUUUAAUUAUUUUAUAUUUUUAUAAGUUUCAAAAAUAUUAAAAUUAAGUUCUUAGUUAUAUUCGGCCAACCAUAAAAAUGUUACAAAAAAUUUAGGCUUGCAAUCAAAUAUACACCUAAAAAUUAUAUAUAAAAAUAUGAAUUCGUGUCUAAAUUAUGUACUUAAAAACUAAAUUAAAACAAAUCAUUCCCAAUUCGAGAUCUUUUUGCUAGGAAUAUGACUUUAUAAUGCAAGUUAGAAUCACUAAUGAUAAAUUGAUAAGAUGAUAUGGAUGAAAACCUCUUGAUUUAGAGAUCAUUGAGGGAAGCUAGUGAUUUUGAUGUUUACAUUAAAUGAGUGACAUUUUCUUAUUUCUAUUAAUAAAUGAAAGUUUUAUACUUUAGCUAACUCAAAUUAUGUUUCGGGAGAACAAGAAAGAAAAGUUUGAGAAUCGGGUCACUAAUUUGGCUUAUUUUUAAUGAUUUUGAUUGAUUUUUUAUCAAAGUAAUUUUAUGCUACAAACUACUUUCGAAAAAAGGUCGGUUCAUAUUCAGACAACAUUGACAUUAUAUGGAUAAAGCAUUUGUGAACAAACUUAUACCAAGACUAGUUGUUAGUUCAAGAGAGUUGGGACAGAUAAAUUUGUGCAAAAAUUAAUUAUCAAAGGGUAAUUACCAUUUCAACUUUUAUAAAAAAUGUCCAUGUUUAAGGAACAAUUGAAGGCACGUCAGUCAUCCAAUUAGUCUAAAGCUAAUAAUUAUAGAACAAACUACAUUGGCAUCAUAUUCUUGACGGGAAAGAACCUCAAGGGCUAUCUAAGCUGGGGUUUUGAUCGUAGAGCUGAGUCUUAAGUGCAACAUCAAAGAUUAUAUUUAACACUCAAUGAAAUAACCUCAUCGUAUUUUCCAAGUUUGAGAAAAAAGAAAUCAAUAAAUUUUGUUAGGGCAAGCAAUAGAAAUUAAAAAAUAGAUUUAAUUAGCUUUUCUAAGUUAUUUAUUAUUCAAUUCUCUAGCAUACAUAUAUUGUAAUUUCGAUAUAACUACUGUAUCUCAUUUCAUCUUGAAACUUUUAAUACCACUAUUUAAAUUUUAAGAAACCAUCUUAGUUGAAACUUCAACAUUAUGAUCAACAAUGCCAAGUCAAAACUUCGCCAUUAUGAUCGAGUCAUAAUUAAUGAUCAACAAUGCCAAGUUACAGCAAUUUGAUUUUGAACUUCGCCAUCCUGAUUUUUUGUCAAUUAUCCUAAAUUUGCACAAAAUCCGAAGCAUCGAGGACCACAUUUGCAAAAGUCAAAAGUUUAGGGACUACAUAAUUCAUAAAAUGGAUCGAUUAUAGCGUAAUUUCCAGCAACUUGGGGGUCUUUUGUUUUGCUGGCUGUAGUCCAUUGGGUGCACGUGAACUUCGUGGGAAAUUGGUGGCGUUCAAUUAUUUAACCUUUGCAAGUUGGUGAGUGGUCUGGCAGCUCUUUUGAUUUUUUUUUUUUUUUUGCUGUAGAUAGGAUUCGAAUAUCCAACCUGCAGUUCAAAAAAAGGGACUUUAGUCCCUAUUUGAUAGCCACUACCUUUCCAAGUUGGCAAGCUGUCUUGUUUACAUAAAGGUUGGGAUUUUACUGUGGAAUAUUUGAAUAUCGAACGAUAACAGUACAAUACUAAAAAAAAAUUUACUGCUAUUGUCUAUUGUGGAUAAUUCAAGCAACUAUUUUAGAAAAUGACUCUCAUAAUUAUGGUCAAGCCAAGCCAAUCCAACAGUGCUCCCAAGCUCGAAAAUACAGCAAAAGGUAAAAUGAUUUGAAACCGGAUCGACAAGUGAAUUGGACGAGCUUCCUAUUUCUGGCUCAAUCAAUUCAACCAGUUCAACUCCGAUUUAAUGAUUUUAUAAAUUUUUAAUUAUAUUAACAUUAAAUAACUUGAAUAAUAUUAAUAUAUGAAAAAUAAUGAAAAAUCGGUCCAAAGGCCGGCUGUUUACUGAUCCAAUAGUGCUCCCAAGCAUGAAAAUAUAGCAAAAGGCAAUAUUUUGAAAUUGGGACCUACAAGUGAACUGGAUGAAUUUUUUAUUCAAUUAAUUUUGCGGUUCAAUCUCUGUUUAGUGAUUUUAUUAUUAUUUUUGUUUAUUUUAAAAUUAAAUUUUUUGGAUAAAAUUAAUAUAUGAGCUAGAAAUAAAAUUUUUGUGUAAAACCAGUUCAAAGACCUUUUUUUUCUUAUCGAUUUUGAUUCAUCUGAUCGAUUUUUGAUCGAAUUUGAUUGAUUCAAUUGAGUUUCUGGGUUAAAUAUAGAAAAACAAAUUAUUCGGGAAAUCACUAAACCUUUUUAAUAGUCAAGAUUUAGCCACUCAAUUAUUAAUAGUUUGUUGUUUUCCAUUAAACUGUUAAUAAUAUAAAUUUUGUGCCAUUUCGUCUAAUUUCACUAUUGACUCUGUUAGAUCUAAGGGUCUAUACAAGAUAUAUUAGUAAUGGUUAAAUCUGGUAGAGUUAAUGACAAAUUAGAUGGAAUUGCCUAAAAUUUAAAUUUUUAAUAAUUUAGUAGGUAAAAAUUACUAUUUAUAGCUUAAUGACUAAAACUUGACUAUUCAAAAAAUUUAAUGGUCGCAGGGAUAAUUUGCUCUAAGAUCUAAGCCAUGGUUGGUUUGACGGUGGCAAAAGGUACACAUUCCACGUUUUUCGGUAAAACGCGGUAUGGUAAAUAUUCUUAGAACUAUUGCCGUAAAUCUGAAAUCACCUAUAAAAGGGUCCAUCUUUGGGCAACCAAUUUCACCCCCAAAUAAAUCCGCGAAACUAACUGAGAAAAAGAAAAAGAAAAUGGCUGCCAGUUUACGACCACUGUUCUUAGCAAUAAUAUCCCUGCUGAUGAUAUCUUCAUUGACCAGGUCCUCAGAAGGCGCUGGAAUCGCAGUCUACUGGGGCCAAAAUGGCAAUGAAGGAAGCCUGGAAGAGGCCUGCCGUAGUGGCAACUAUGACUAUGUAAAUAUUGCCUUUCUGGUAUCCUUUGGCAGUGGCCAAACACCGGAACUGAACUUAGCUGGCCACUGUAUCCCGAGCCCAUGCACCUUCCUGAGUUCUCAGAUAGAGGUUUGCCAGAGCCUGGGCAUCAAAGUGCUCCUUUCUCUUGGUGGAGGUGGUGCCGGGGCAGGGAGAGGGCCAAUCCUGGCUUCUCCCGAGGAUGCUCGCGAUGUUGCAGCCUACCUCUGGAACAAUUACUUGGGCGGUCAAUCAGACUCUCGCCCACUUGGUGCUGCUGUUUUAGAUGGUAUAGACUUUGACAUCGAAUAUGGAUCGAACCUGUACUGGGAUGAUCUCGCCCGGGCACUCUCGGGAUACAGCACAGCAGAGAGAAAGGUGUACUUAUCUGCAGCACCACAAUGCUUCUUUCCUGACUAUUAUCUUGAUGCUGCUAUCAGAACUGGCCUCUUUGAUUUCGUCUGGGUGCAGUUUUACAACAAUCCGCUUUGUCAGUAUGGUACAACCACAGGCAAUGCCGAUAACCUCUUGAACAGUUGGAGUAUUUGGUCUGCCUCUUCAGGCGUUAAUAAAUUAUUCCUGGGAUUACCUGCAGCCGAAGCGGCCGCACCUGGUGGCGGUUACAUCCCACCUGAAGUGCUAGUUGAACAGAUUCUUCCCGUUGUGCAGAGCUAUCCCAAGUAUGGAGGGGUCAUGCUUUGGAGCAGAUACUAUGACCAAAACUACAGUACAGCAAUCAGGCCUUAUGUUAACGGUGAUCCUCUGACUUAUACAACCAAGUCCGUGAAAAAAUCCCAUGCUGUAGCAUGAGUUCCUCUCAUUAUCUGCCGCGAGAUGAAAUGUAGUCCUGGCUGCUUAUGCCAGAGAUCAAUCUACUAAUGAAUAAUGGGCUAUGAGUUCCCAAAUCGAUUAAAAUGUUCAGUAAAUUUCUUCCCGUUUUAACCGCGCUCUCUCUCUCGAAUGAAGGGGUACAAGAUCUAGUUUGAAGAACCAGUUGCACCUUCUCUUUUUUUUAUUUUUUAUACAACAUCUUCUAGAUAAUAAUUUUUCGAUAAUAUUCAAACCACAUUGAAAUUGAAAAAGAAAAUGUUAAUUUGCAAUUGAAGUUUGAGGAACAGUAUCUAUUUCCCCUCAUAUUUCAAUGCAAGUCACUUUGAGACUUAUGACAAUUUCACUAACCUCCCAUCAAAUCUGAAAAACAACGAUUACCUCCCCUCUUCUUAGAUUUGGUCUGAUGAUUUCAGUGUAUUUGGUAUACAUUCCUACAACAAAGGGAUAACAAUCGAAGGGCUUUCGUUUUUAUUAAUUUUUUGGAGUACAAAUUAAUUUCUCAUUAGCAUGUUAUGAAACAUAUGAUAUUCUUGUUCUCAACAAUUUCUUUCUACUAAAAAAUGAAUAGAGAGAAGGGGGAAAAAAGUAAGCCUCAGCUGAUUAAAUUAUGUCCACGCAUAAAUUGUCACAAAGGUUUCUUAAGGGAAAAAGGGUUGGGGGUGGGGGCGGGGGUUCCCUGGGUUAAUUUAACCAAAAUUGAUUAAAGUAAUGAGGUUGGCUUGAUUAAAUUAUGUUUAUCACAAUUGGGUCAUUUCUUAAAAUAUUGACCUUAACAAAGAUGAUCCAUUUCUUGAAAAUGGGCUUUCCUAGAAAAUUUGCGUUCUAGAAAAGCCAUUCUUGGGCAGAUGAUGAAUAAGACUUCGUAUUUUGGGCUGAAUGAAAUGGAUGACACGCCAAAUUUGAUUAUUUAGCCACCGAAUAAAUAUGUUGGGUUUUAUAAAUCACUAUAAGUAAUGGUGUCUUAACUUUGGUUAAUUAGUUAAUUUAGAACACGCAUGGUGAAAUUGGGCUGACAAAGAAAAUAUUAAAGGAUGAUAACGUUUAUAGUGAGCCAAGUACAAUUAUUAUGAAACAAAAUGCCUCACAUUCACAAAUCCCUCAAAUGCUAUCUUUCAAUGCCAAUAAACUACUGGUAUCCAACUCCAAGAUCGCUCCAAAAUUCUAGCCCAAUCAGACACUGUUCCCUUGUUCACAAAAUAAACUUUUACCUCUCUAUGAUUUGUUGCUUUACCACGUGAUUUCCUUAUUAGUUUAAAAACUCAUAUAUACCACAUGACCCCUUAUUGUUUAAAAACCUAUAUAUAAUUCCUUCAUGGUUUGGGUUAAAGUGUUACCAUUGAUUUUUUUCAUUAAAACUAAUGGUCAAUAGUAAAGCGUUAAAAUUAAACUAAUAAAUUGACAAAUUCACUCUUUCACUAUUUUUUUUCCAUUUUCUUUCUUUUUUUUGGUGGAAGAGAAGAGAUGAUUUGGAAACAUAUACUUUGGCCUAUAAAACCUUAAUUUUCUCCAAUUACAAAAGAGAUGGGAGGGAAAUAAAAAAGUAAAUGAGUAAGAAACAAAAAAGAUGGAAGGGAAAUAUAAAACAAAUAAAUAAGAAACAAAAAAUAUCAAAUCUUUUUUUAUCACUAAUAUCAUUACAGAUUUUUAAACCAAAUCUUUGAUGGUAUUUUCUUAUUCUUAUUUAUCUAUUUUUUAUUUUAAUUUCUUCUUUUUUAUGUUUAGAGGGGUAUAAAAGGAAUUAAUGAAAGGGUAAAUUUCUUAAUUUAUUAGUUUAAUUUUGACUUUUACUAUUAACCAUUUGUUUUAAUGAAAAAACUAACAGUCACAUAUUAUCUAAAAUCAUGAGAGGGUUAUAUACAAGUUUUCAAAUCAUAUGGGGUUUACGUGGUAAAGUACCAAACUACAAGGGGUAAAAGGUAAUUUAUCCUUUUUCCAAAUCAGCCCAACAUUUUAAAUUGCCAAACAUUUGCCACUGCUCAAUUGCAUCACUUGCAACAGAAUUUUUUGAAAUUAUCAAAAUACUUGUUUUCUAUCAUCACCAAAUUCAUCCAAACUCACAAAAUUUAUAAAAUAAAAAUCCCAUACAUGUUUAAUCCUUGACAAAUAGCAAUCCAAACAAGGUAACAAGUUUAUGUUCAAUUCUUGAUAAAUAUCAAUCUAAAUAAAGUAACAUGUUCAAUUUCUAAACCAAAGUACUAUCUAAGCCAUUAUUCACCUUCAUCUUCAUUAUCCGUAUCUCCGAUUUCUUAACUUUCAAAAUCGAUAUCAUCAAGAUCAUCCUCAUCAUCAAGUUGCACAAUAUUUGUGUCGUUCUUACCUAAAAAUCAUUUAAAUACUCAUAAAUAAAAAUAUUCAAAAAUAGACAAGAACUAAAAAGAAACUUAGAUAAAGUUAGCAAAUGCAUUCCAAAAUUCAUCUAUGUAGCUAAUAAUGGUCCAUUGAUUACAUGCUUGGCAACCUGAAUCUUGAUUGGAGGCAUUCAAAGCUCAAGUAAUUGAUAUUAAAUACAUUUUAAAAGCAUAUAAUGCUUUCCUUGACUAUCAUUUUAAAAGAAUUGCCCAAACUCCAUUUAUUAGUCAUACGAGUUUUCCCAUCUUCUAAUCUACUAUUUUCACUUGUCAUCUGAUCAUAUUAUAGGUUAAGCCCAUCUUCCGGAUUUCCAUGAAUACAAUGGUCUAAAAUCAAAGCAUCCCAGGAAACUAAACUCUUCAUCGGCAUCCUUCCACAUCUAUUAUACAUAUCAAUUAAGGACGACGUGUUAACAAUCAAACUCAAAUUUCCAGAUUCUGUAAUAAGAGUUCCGUGAAUUGAUUUUCCUUGUUUCAAUCUGGCAGACCUACCACAAGCAGUAAGCACAUUCACCAUAAUUGUUUCAUUGCCUUAAAUCCGAGCUUCACCAUUUCCCUGAAUAACUUCAACCCAUUUCCAGGAUUCCCCAGAUCCAAAUAACCUGUCCUCAUUAUAUUCCAUGAAACAAUAUAUUCCACAAAACAACACCACAGUUUGUUUUCUCUAAAUCAACAGAUACCAUUUUUUUUCUAGUGUCAUUUUGAGUUUAUCAACAACUUGUCUCUUUAAAUAAAAAAAUUAAAAACACCACUACCAACUGAAAAACUUUAUUCACACCCGUAACAUCCAAAUCCCAAAUACCCAGCAUAAUGAAUCAAAAAAAAAAAAUACUGAAAUUUCAGUCUGAUUGUUCCAAAUCUCAUCACAAAGAGUAGCAAAAAGCUCCGAAUCCUCACUUGAAAAGACUUCACAAAAUUGAAAGAUGAUCACCAACUGAAUAAGUAUUUUCAUCAAUGUGAUACCUUAAGUUUCAAAUAGUGGUAUUAAAGGUUUUAGGAUUUAAGAAGCGUGGAGAGAGAAGGAUAAAAUGAGAUGUGAAUUAUAUAGACAAGUUACAUGUCAAACUAGGAAUUGUAAUUAAAAAAACAAAUUGAAAAAGCUUAUUAUUUAUUUUUCUUAUUCUUUUUGCUUUAAAAUGUGGGUUUUAUAUGAAAUUUUUGUCAGUCAAGUACUAUUACCACAUUUGAAUUGUAUUCAAUUGAUAAUAAUAAACUAAAUUAAUAUUCUAAUGUAAAGGACUAAAGUGAUAAAGUUAAAAGUUAAAGGUCUAAAUAGAUAUUUUGAUAAAAGUUUGAGGACUUCUAAUAUACUGUGACUUAUCUGAAUUUAUAUCAAUGGGAUUAGAGUUCUGUUUGCAUGUCAACAAAACAUUUUUCCAAAAUGAAAAUUAUGUGAGGCCUCUACAGUGGAAAGUCAAGCAAUUAAGAAUACUUUUGUUACUACUUUGUAUCAUCUAUUUUUCCCCCCUUGAAUAAGUUCUUUGCAUUCUUGUUGUUAUUGAAGAAGAUGAAACUAGUUAGCUAAAUUAAAAAAUAAAUUUUGGCUUCAAAUUUAAGGUACCAGUUAAAUAGAGCAUAGAUUUUGUCAAAGAGUAACAUUAUACAAUAUUGUUGAAUUCAGACACUUAUCGGAUCGGCCAGACCAUUCUAAAAAAUUCUCUGAAGUUAGCAUGAUGUCAUAAUUAUUUUAUAUUUUUAUAAGUUUUAGAAAUAUUGAAAUUAAAUUUUUUGUUAUACUUGGCCAACCAUAAAAAUGUUACAAAAAUAUUAGGCUUGUAAUCAAAUAUACAACUAAAAAUUAUAUAUAAAUAUAUGAAUUCGUGUCUAAAAUAUUUCCAUUCUCUAAAAUUACUUAAAAACUAAAUUAAAACAAAUCAUACCCAAUUCGAGAUCUUUUUGCUUGGAAUAUGACUUUAUAAUACAGGAAUCACUAAUGAUAAAUUGAUAAGAUGAUAAGGAUGAAAACUUCUUCAUUUAGAGAUCAUUGAGGGAAGCGAGUGAUUUUAAUGUUUAUACUAAGUUAGUGGCAUUUUCUUAUUUCUAUUAAUAAAUAAAAGUUUUACACUUUAAGUAACUCAAAUUAUGUUUCAGGGGAACAAGAGAGAAAAGUUUGAGAAUUGAGUCAAAUAGUUGAAUCGAAUCACUAGUUUGGCUGAUUUUGAUAGUUUUGAUUAAUUUUUGACUAAAAUGAUUUUGUGCUACUAACUACCUUCGGAAAAAAGUAGAUUCAUAUUCAGACUGAUCGGUUUGGUUUGGGACAACACUGACAUUAUAUGGAUAAAGCAUUUGUGAACAAACUUAUACCAAGACUAGUUGUUAGUUCAAGAGAGUUGGGACUGAUAAAUUUUCAACAAGUCUAUAAUUUGUGCAAAAAUUAAUUAUUCAAAGGGUAAUUACCAUUUCAACUUUUAUAAAAAAAAUGUCCAUGUUUAAGGAACAAUUGAAGGCACGUCAGUCAUCCAAUUAGUCUAAAGCUAAUAAUUAUAGAACAAACUACAUUGGCAUCGUAUUCUUGACGGGGAAAGAACCUCAGGGGCUGUCGAAGCUGGGGUUUCGAUCGUAGAGCUGGUUCUUAAGUGCGACAUCGACGACUAUAUUUAAUAGUCAAUGAAAUAACCGCAACCUAUUUUCCAAGUUUGAGAAAAAGAAAUCAAUAAAUUUUGUUAGGGCAAGCAAUAAAAAAAUAAAAAAAGAUUUAAUACGCUUUUCUAAGAUAUUUAUUAUUCAAUUCUUUAGCAUACAUAUAUUGUAAUUUUGAUAUAAUUGUAUCUCAUUUCAUCUUAAAGCUUUUAAAUUUUAAGAAACCAUCUUAACUGAAACUUCAACAUUAUGAUCAACAAGGCCAAGUCAAAACUUCACCAUUUUGAUCAAGUCAUAAUGAUCAACUAUGCCAAGUUGCAGCAAUUUGAUUUUGAACUUCGCCACCCUGAUUUUUUGUCAAUUAUCCUAAGGGUAUGUUUGGUUCCCUAUGUAAUUGGGAUUUAGAAUUAGAAUUGGGGCUCCAAUUCUAAUUCUGUUGUUUGGAUUCUGCUUCACUUGAAGAAUAAGAAUUCAAUCUGAAUUCUAUAGGGGUCCAAUUCCAUAAAUUGAAUUCUUUAUUGGACCAAAAGAAUCCUAAUUCCAAUUCCACAACUAAACCCUAAGAAACGGAUCUACACGCAGAUCUAAUAUGGGUAAAAAAUUAAAAGCGGGUCAAGUAUUCAAGCAUCUCUCUCUCCCAUUCUACUCACAAUGGAUCUUCUAUCCCACACCCUGUGUUGGAUCUUAAGGAAACAAAAAAGAACUAAAAUAUGAUAUUUAUGAAGGAGAAAUAGUAAUCUAUAUCUAUAUAAAUUUGAGAAGGGAUUUUUAGCAACAAGCCUCAUAUAUCUUCCCAUUACCAAUUCCAUUUUUCUAGCAUUUCACAUUUAAUUUAAUUUAUAAAAUAUAUUUCUCUCAACUUCCACAUCUACUCUUCACAUUUGAAAUUAUUGGUUAGUUUUUAAAAUCAUUUCAUUUCAAAUUGUUGAUUGAUGUGCAUGUUAUCUUAUUUGAACUUCAACCCAUCACGUUUUCGAUUGCCUUGCGUUAUUUAUGGUUCUAUAGCAAUUAAAACUUCUAUAAGAUCAUAAGAAGAGAUAACAAAUAUAACAUCCUUUCAUGCUUUCUUAUUAAUUUAAAUAAGUAAGAUUGUUUACACUCCAUUUUUGUUAUUCACACUUCAAUAAUCAUUUUGAUCAUAUCAUUUUCAGUAAUUAGACUAUAUGAUAAAACAAAUGGUGGAAUUGCAAAUAAUAAAAAAUUGAGUGCAAAUAACAUUUUCUUAAGUAAGAAGUGGCUUACAUGCCUUUCUAAUUAAAAAAGUAGUGGCUCCGCUUACAUAGGAAUUUGGUUUGAAGUUUAUUAGUAGGAGGGUAAAUAAAAAGAAAACAUUGCCAAACUUAGUAAAAGUAAAAAAGUAAAUGAUAAUAUUUUAUCUUUAAACUUAGUAAUCCUAAGUAAAAGGGCAAAAUUAAAUAGAAAACAAAAAGGAAAUAAUGUCGUGGAUUUAAAAAAUCAAGAAUGGUACCAUUCAUGAAAUCCAUAUUAUGAAAUCACUAAAUAAAAAAUAAAGUACUACUAGCCUUUUAACGUGGAAACUUUUUUUUUGAAAUAUUCAUUUUUGAUAAAAAAUAAUGAUAAUAACAACACCAAUUCAACCAAAAAUUUUUUAAAAAGUAAUAUUAUAGUUUAAGAGAAAGAUAUAGAACAUUCAACCCUAAAAUACUACUUAAUUUGUAUAUAUCUGGCCCAAAUUUGACAAUAAAUUUGAAUAAGAGUGCAAAACCCAAACAUUAAGGAUAACUUUUGCUAUCAUUAAUUAUUUUAUGUAUUCUUAUUGCUGUCUUCAUAUGUAAAUAUGUAUUUGGUAUGUUAAUAUAUAUAUAUAUAUAUAUAUAUAUAUUGAUUGUAGUACUUGAGGAUAUUAUAGAUAUUAUCAGUUUUUCAUUUCCAUUUUUAGAUACUAAUAAUUGCAACCAUUGUAAUUAAUUUUUAAUUUUAUAUUUUCAUUAUGAUAGGUAAAGUUAAAUAUAUUGGGUCGCAGGGAUAUGAAUUUAGAGCUUAGGUAUAGGGGGAGGAGCGAGGGAAAAAAAUGGUGAGAUGUUGAAAAGUAGCAGGAAAGGUUGAAGAAGAAAUAAGGGUUACAAGGAUAGGCGGAGAAGGGAGAGAAGAAGAAAGGGGAUUGUAGGGAUAUGACAGAGAUGACAAAAAUAAUAAUAAUAAUAAUAGAGAGGGUGGUAUCAUGAUAGAAGAUAUGAAAGUGGUAGGAGGCAUCUGAUGACUAGUUGGCGUAUAAGAGAAGAGGGAAAUGAUGGUGAUUUUUAAUAAUUUUGAGAACUUUAAAAACAUAUAUUACGGAGAAUUUUUUUAAAUUAUACAUUAAAGUUUAGGAAAAAUGCUAAUCUAAAUGUAGUCAACAAUUUUAGGGGUACAAGAUACAAGAAAGAUUUUUUUUUCUAAAAAUGGAAGAAAAUAAAUUGGUUAUAAUUUAUUUUUUUUAUAUUAUAAGUUUUGAUAUAUGGGUAUAACAUAAUAUGUUUUGUCGGAUAUUGAUAAAUUGAUUCUUUUUUAUAAAACUCUUUUCACCUUACCACCCAACCUAACCCUCUCCUUAAAUGCGUUAACAAUUCUUUUAUCAUUUAAAUCAUUAUAUAUUAAAUUUUUUUUCAAGAUAUUAAGCAUACACUUCUUUAAAAUUUUUAGUCUAUAUAUAUAUACUUAUUAUUUUGUACCACAAUAUAAAUAUAUAAAAUAUUAUUUUGAUUUAAAAUAUAACCCCGUGCAUAGCACGGGUCAAAAUACUAGUAUAAUAAAAAGUGGGAUAGAGAGUUGCACAGGGUGUGAGACAGAAGAUUUGUUGCGCAUUCUAAUUCACCAUUUUUUCUCAGCUGCAAGUGCUCCUGCUCUCCACCAUCGCUUCUACCUCCGCCCUAACAUUUUGCCGCUUUCGCCACCGUUUCCCCCAUCGCUCUUCGUUUCAGCCAUCCCUCUUCCCUUCGCCACUCCUGCCAUGCAUCCACCCAUCACCUUGCCAAUCGCAAGACUAAUCCGAGUGCUCUCUCCUUCCCCCUGCUUAAUUUUCUUGAACUGGGUUCUUCAGUCUUGAAGGUAAUAUCUCCUAAGAAUUUGCACUGAAAUUUGACGUUUUCUUACAAAGCACUGCCUAACUCUUGAGUGCCAGAUAUUAAUUCUAGUAAUGGUUCUUGACUUUGGUUUUACAGCCCAGCAAUGGCUCAGAACCUACAGUUGGAAAGACCCUUCUUGAGGACACAGGUCUAUUUUUUUACAGAAACCUGGUACUUGAUUGGUGUAUGAGCUCUUUUAGCAUUUUCUCUGCUGUUCAAUAUUCUUUUUGUUGAAGUAUUGACAUUUUUAAAGCGUAAGCCCCACGUACAACCUUGUUAUCAUGCAAUUUUGGUUUCUAAUAUACUAUAUAGUAAAGAAGUCCAUGUCUUAAUUCCGUGGUGUCAACUUAACGUCAGCUCUAGGAGAUAAUAAAGCUGUUAUUCUUGAGGAUGAUGAGCAAAACAUGGAUAGACGGCAAGUUGCAUCACAUCCUGGAGGUUUGUGGUCUAUUCAACUCCAGCUUUUUGCAUAUGCAACUCAAAGAUAAAUACUCUGUGUCCCUUGAUAAAAUGAGUUCAGACUUUCGACAAGGUUUGAAACGUGAUAUAUACAUUUUCCCAAAAUCCAAUAUAAAGUUUAGUACUCAAUUAGCACUUAAAUUUAAUGGAUUCUAAAAGCACAAAAGGAGGAAGAAAUAAAGAAUCUAAAAUGCACAAAAGGAGGGGGAAAAUGGAUGGAGAAAGAAUCUACCGACAGAAAGAAAAUGGAGUAAAGAAAAUUGAGGUUAUUGACAUUCAACAAGGGAACUUAUUUCAUCCUAAAGCUGCAUUCCGGUGAUUUAAUUACUACUACUGCUGAAGUCUUUAGUAGUGGAUCGAUGCAAUUUUAGUCAAGUAAAUGAACUUGUAUUUGUCACGGUUGAUGGAUUCAAAUAAGCUGUGGUGUGAUUGUUCUCAACAAGACCACAAUUUCUUCUUUGCAUACUCAACCACAUGCACAUGAUUACUUUUGGGCAUAACUUUUAACAACAAUCAACUAACAUAUAAAAGGGAAUUAGUCAAUUGCUUAUGGAAUCAAGUUGAUUGCUGACACAUUUUCCUUUUCUAUGAUAAAGCUUAAAAUCAUUACUCUCUAACUUAUGUUAACAAUAUGGUGGUUUAAUAUGAUGGCCACAGUCAAUUGCUUAAAAGUUUCAGGUUUUUAUUCUUGUUCACACAUAUCUAGUAUGGCUAAAUCUAAAUCUAAAUCCUCAUUUCUAAGUAAUUUAUGUGGUAAACAGAAAGGUUUAACAAUAUAGAUGGGCUAAAAUAUCUUUGACUCAAGUUGAUCGUUGACUCAACUAAGCAAAGAAUCAACUCUGUUCUAUGUAUCCUAGCUAUGAGAUCUACAGCUUCAACAAAUUGAACCUGGUCAACUUAAAGCACCUUAGCACUUUCUACCGUGAUUGUAGGACUAACAUGUUUUGUUUAAGAAUAGCCUCCAAAAGCUUGGCCGUUAGUCGAACCAGUUUACCUGCUGUUAAUGUAGUUUUUCAAGCAGGGAUCAACAAUUACAUGCUUUAGUUUUCUUUUAACAAAAAAGAAAGAUUUUAAUGUUUGAGCCAUAAGUGAUUUAAUCACAUGUUAGUGCAUUACUAAUCCAAUUAGUGACCUCUGGUUUUAGUUUUUUGAUGCCACAACAUAGUUAUUAUAUUAAAAAAGAGCCCUUAUGAUAAAUAUCACCUAACACAUAUAUUUUGACACAAUAUGUCUUGAUCGUAGGUGCACCACUAACUUUAUUAAGUAUGCUACAAGUGAGUAAUAUUAUAAACUAGAAAUUGAUGAUGAUCAGUCAAUAAGUCUGUCAUUAAGUCUAUAACAUGAAUCUUAUUGUUAGUCACCGUUUACUUACUAUCUAUGAUAACUAUCCUAUUUUGUUUAAAUUGAUCUAUAGCUAUAGCUAAGUUGUGCUGAAACUAGUUAGAAUGAUUAUGGACCUAUAAUAUAAUUUCAUGUGGACACAACAAUAACCCGCUUAUUUCUAUACUAUUAGUCUAUUCUUGUCUAGCUUGAAAAUCAUCUUAUACAUGUAAUUAUCACUAAUUACUAGUUUAUAAACCGAUCAACUUGUCAACAUAAACCCUGAUCUUGUUGGUAUCAAUUUGCAGGAACCAGUCAUGGACUAAAAGCCGCUUCAAAUUGCUUUAUGUUUUCUUGGUGAUUAAUAUGAUAUUCAUCCAUUUCUUUGAAAAAAAGAAAAGUUAUCCAUUUCGUACUAAUACUUGAUAUGGUGAUUCUGAAUUGCAGAAUUUGGAUAUUGACAUGGAUAAAGAAGGAGAUGAGUAAAAAGCAAAAAAGAGAGAAGUGAUAGUUGCAAAUUAUAUGAUAACAGUAACCGCAUUAGUAGUUUGGUGGCAUGAGAAACAUAUAGUAAAGAAGCCUUAUUUUGACUUUAAAGUAGCACCUGAAAUAUAUCAAAUGCGUCUUUACUAUGGAAACAGCAGAGUUUGUGUAGAACAACUUCGACUCAAUAAUUGUUUUACUGUUUUAUGUACAAAUUUAAGAGAGCAUUGUGGGUUGAGGGAUACUAGAAAUAUUAUUGUUGAAGAAGUAGUUGCAAUAUUUCUCUAUGUUCUUGCUCAUAACUUUAAGAAUCGCAUUGUCAAUUUUAAUUUCAUAAGAUCAGGUGAGACAGUUAGUCAAUACUUUAAUAUAGUUCUUAACUUUAAAAAAAGUAUCAAGGCUUUAACUUGAUAAAUAUUAACUACUUUUUAAGUUAGAAUAUAUAAUUAUUUUUUAUUUAAUAUAAUUUAAUUAAGAAAAAAGAAACAAGAAUAAUAUUUUUUUUUGCAGAAAAGGAACUAAUUUUUUUUUCUAAUUAUUUUUUAAAGCUUUAGUAACAAUUAGUUAAAUGCAAGAAAAAAUAAAUUAUUAAAGGCAUUAAUUGGUUUUUUCCUUAAAGCUUUAGUAACAAUUACCUAUAUGUUAAAAAAUUAUUAUAUAGUAAAAAAAAAAGAAAUUUUUUAUGAAAGGAAAUGUUAGUUGGAAACAAUUCUAAUUCUUAACGAAUUCUUCUCCCAUCCAAAUAAAGAAUUUGAAAUUCUGAAUGAAUUCUGUAUCAAUGUUAUGCAUUUCCCAAACAAAAGAAUUCCAAUAUUUUGGAAUUCCAAUUCUGUAGAACCAAACGUACCCUAAAUUUACACAAAAUUCGUAGCAUCGGGGACCACAUUUGCAAAAGUCAAAAGUUUGGGGACUACAUAAGUUAUAAAAUGGAUCGAUUAUAGCGUAAUUUCCAGCAACAUGGGGGUCUUUUGUUUUGUUGGGUGUAGUCCAUUGGGUUGCCCGUGAACCGCGUGGGAAAUUGUUCAAUUAUUUAACCUUUGCAAAUUGGUGGGUGCCCCGCCACCUCUUUCAAUUUUUUUUUUUUAAUAUAAGUAGGAUCCGAAUCUCUAAUUUACAGCUCAAAAGAGAGACUUUAAUCUUUUUUAAAUGGCCACUACCUUUGCAAGUUGGCAAGCUAUCCUGUUUACAUAAAGGUUGGGAUUUUACUGUGGAAUAUGUGUUGGCAGAUCCAGGCGUGAAUAAGUUAUUUAACAGCUGAAUAUUGGAAGAUAACAUUACAAUAGUCAAAAAAAAAUUUACUGCUAUUGUCUAUUGUGCAUCAUCCUGGAAAAUUCAAGCAACUAUUUUAGAAAAUGACUCUCAUAAUUAUGGUCAAGCCAAUCCAACAGUGCUACCAAGCUCGAAAAUACAGCAAAAGGUAAAAUGCUUUGAAACCGGAUCGACAAGUGAAUUGGAUGAGCUUCCUAUUUAUGGCUCAAUCAAUUCAACCUGUUAAACUCCGAUUUAAUGAUUUUAUAAAAUUUUAAUUAUAUUAACGUUAAAUAAUUUGAAUAACAUUAAUGUAUAAAAAAUAAUGAAAAAUCGGUCCAAAGGCCGGUUUUUUAACUGAUCCAAUAGUGCUCCCAAGCUUGAAAAUAUAGCAAAAGGCAAUAUUUUGAAAUUGGGGCCUACAAGUGAACUGGAUGAAUUUUUUAUUCAAUUAAUUUUGCGGUUCAAUCUCUGUUUAGUGAUUUUAUUAUUUUUUUGUUUAUUUUAAAAUUAAAUUUUUUGGAUAAAAUUAAUAUAUGAGCUAGAAAUAAAAUUUUUGUGUAAAACCAGUUCAAAGACCUUUUUUUUUCUUAUCGAUUUUGAUUCAUCUGAUCGAAUUUGAUUGAUUCAAUUGAGUUUCUGGGUUAAAUAUAGAAAAACAAAUUAUUCGGGAAAUCACUAAACCUUUUUAAUAGUCAAGAUUUAGCCACUCAAUUAUUAAUAGUAUGUUGUUUUCCAUUAAACUAUUAAUAAUAUCAAUUUUGUGCCAUUUCAUCUAAUUUCACUAUUGACUCUGUUAGAUCUAAGGGUCUACACAAGAUAUAUUAGUAAUGGUUAAAUCUGGUAGAGUUAAUGACAAAUUAGAUGGAAUGACCUAAAAUUUAAAUUUUUAAUAGUUUAGUGGGUAAAAACUUAGCUGGCCACUGUAUCCCGAGCCCAUGCACCUUCCUGAGUUCUGAGAUAGAGGUUUGGAGGGGGUGCCUAGGCAUCAAAGUGCUCCUUUCUCUUGGUGGAGGGGGUGCCGGGGCAGGGAGAGGACCAAUCCUGGCUUCUCCCGAGGAUGCUCGCGACGUUGCAGCCUACCUCUGGAACAAUUAUUUGGGCGGUCAAUCAAACUCUCGUCCAUUUGGUGAUGCUGUUUUAGAUGGUAUAGAUUUUGACAUCGAAUAUGGAUCGAACCUGUACUGGGAUGAUCUUGCCCGGGACCUCUCGGGAUACAGCAUAGCAGAGAGAAAGGUGUACUUAUCUGCAGCACGACAAUGCUUCUUUCCUGACUAUUAUCUUGAUGCUGCUAUCAGAACUGGCCUCUUUGAUUUCGUCUGGG